rnacentral:lncRNA from 1 species
AUCUAAUGUGUUACCCUAGCAGCUGCACAAUCUCUCUGUAACCACACCAAUUCCUAACAGCCGCCACACAUAGACUCUUCCUCUUCUCCAUUCACUCAUAUCUCCACCGUUUCUUUCACCUUGACCUUGCUCCUCCGUUCCAGAUCUCUUUAUUCCGGUGACCUCCACUAUUAAUUAUUUACACUCUUCAUCAACAACAACAACACAAACUCAAGAAUGCAUAAACAGAGAGAGACUCAGAAAUUAAACGAUGAAGAGUGCACCAGGAGAUCAGAUCCACAGUGAAAAAGAUGAUUUUGAUCUGAUUUAUUUCUUUUCUUUUCUUAUUUCAUUUGUAUUUGGAUUUGUUUAUUUGUGGUCUUUCCUGCUCAUGUCUUCCAUGGAUUUUCUAUUUAAGUAUUUUAUAGACAAUCCUUCUUCAUCAACAUUAUUCUGUGUAUUUUUCUUUGAUUUUUUUUGUUAAACUGAAAUAUUAAGUAACCGAUUCAACUCGCCCGUCGUAUCCGACAAACCGUAUAAACCGAAUCCGAUCAAACCGAGUGCACCGCACGGACGAAAAUGGGUGGGAUUUCAUCACCCAUCGGUCACAUCGGAUUUGGGUUUUUCAGCUGAAAAUCGAUCGAGGCCGACCGAUGUCCACCCCUAGUUGGAUCCACUCAGAUCAAGGUCGAAAGUUCCAUAUUUCAAUGCAUAAUUUAAUUUUUUAUAAACUCAGAGUUCUUCAAAAUUUGGAUAUUCCGAUCUUGAUCAAGAUAUCACAGACGUCUCUACCUACAAGACUAUGUGUCCUUGGUCGAUUUGCCCAUAUAAAUCGUAAGUAAAUUUUUUAACACAUAUUGUCUUCAAUCGCAUACCGUUAUCAAUUUCUCAAAUCUCAAACAAAAUUUUCUUUUCUUUUACUACUAUUUCACUCUCAAGUCAUUCCUCAAAUAUAGUCAACAGUUAGUUCUUCCCUUAUCCCACCAUAUCAAUCGGUUUGUGGGUCUUCUUAUCCCACAUGGUCAAGGAAGUUGUUUCCAGUCAGAUCGUGUUCGGACGUUUCAUAUUUCAAUGCAUAAUUUAAUUUUUUAUAAAGUCAAAAUUAUUCAAGAUCUGGAUAUUCCGAUCUCGAUCAAGAUAUCACUGACGUCUUUGACUACGUGACUGUGUUGAUUGUUGACUAUAACAAAUUCAAAGUUCAAACAAACAUCAACAUGGAUAGAUAUAUAUCAAAGUUUUCAUGAUUUUUGACACCGAAUUAAAUAGAGUUAAUCUGGUUUGUUAUAAUAGUAAAAAAUAAAUAAAAAACUAAAAAUUAAUGAUUUUAUUUUAUUUGAAUUUCAGGUAAUCCGGUGAAUGUUGCAGCUAAAGUUGUGGCUUUGUAGGAGAAUUCAUUCCUCUCGGUAUGUUUGUUUUUUCUUCAUGAUAACAUAUUUUUAUCAAUUGUCUAUGUGAUGAAUAAUUAUUUGUUUAUUUGUUAGAUGUAAUUUAUUUGUUUGUAUUUAAGGGCGUUAAAUUGCAAACCUUAAUCCAUCACUUGUUUUGAGUUUCAAUUUAUUCAGGAAUAAUUUUUUUAGAUUUUAAUUUUGUUCAAAAUUAUAAAAAUGAUUUUUUUUAUUUAUGACAGAAUUGUGUGAAUUGAUUUUUAAAAUGAACGUGGAUUUAUAGAAAUAUAUAUAGAGAAUGUAAAUAAUUUUUUUGUGUGAACAGAGUAAACUCCGCCGUCAACUACAUAGACUAAUCUCUUGAGCUGAGUGGAAAAUCUCUCCGACAAGAAAUUUAACAAUGUUGCAUUCUCAGGGCUGAAUUCAAACUCUGAACCUCGGGUAAAGUUGGAGACCCUUGCAUUCUCAUCGGUUUAUAUGAUGUAUAUAUGUGUUUGCGUUGUUUAAAAAUUAAUGAAAAAAAAAAUUACAAAACAAAUUAUUACAAUUUUAUUAAUUUUUUAAGAUGCAGCUUCUUAACUCUAAAACAUAAUUUUCAAUCAUCUUCUUCCUUUAGUGUCUUCGUAGACAAUGAUCAGCUAUUGAAUUCAUUCAAUUAAUUGGUAGGAUCUUUGAUCUCUCAAAUAAUGGAGGAAUCUAACGUUGACAUCUAGAUGCAUAUACAAUAGAGACAGGAGAGAAACAUAUCUCUCAAGAUGCAUGUCAUGGUUUGAAUAUUUGUGAAAUAUUUCUUCAUGAUGGGUUAAAUUCAAGAAGUGAUAUUUAUUUUAAAAAGCAAGAAGUAUUAUUUUCUUGUCUAACACUUUAUAUUUAUAAGGAUGACUAAUUUUAAAUUCAAAUUUCUUUUCCAAUACAUACUUUGGGUUCUUGAAACUCAAUAGUUUGGUUAUUCCAAAGAAGAAUAUGGUUUCACUCGUCCACUAAAAAGUUUUUUAGAGACGUCUUUUAAUUUCAUUGAAAAUUGAAAUGGCGUUCAUUAGGAAUAAUUUUUUUAUUGCAACACCUUAAACCCCAAUAAAUAUAUAACAUAAAAUUCAUUAGUUUUAAUUUGAAAGAGAUUCACGGUGAUUUCAAAAAAUAGUAUACAAAUUUCUUUUAACAAAUAGGCUUAGUAAUUACCAUGAACACUUACACAAAAUAGUUACUAAACAAGACUAUUUGAAUUUAAAAUUAAUCACCAAUAUAAAGUAUACAAUUAUAAUUGGUCUAAAGAUGAGUACUGAAAAAAAAAAAUACAGAGUAAUUGCCUAGAUAAUGAAAGAAAUAAAUAUUACAAAUUGAGCAUGCAUAAUAUAUUUUAAUUAUCAGUGGCUCUAAUUUAAUUUUUACUCCGCUUACCGAAGGAGCAGGGGAACUCAUAUUUUGAUUAUCAUAAUUGAUCAAAGUAGCAUGAGAAUGAUCAACAGAAGAACAACCGGAACAAAAGUAGUUGUUCUAUCAUUGAGCUUUUGAAUCUGGAGAUUUGGUCUCUUUUAGAUCAUAGACAUGUAUCUCUUUUUUUCUCUCUUCUAGAGUUUCAGACUUGUAGUGACUUGCCACAUAACUAGCGAAUUUAUGGGAUGUUGAAAAUACUUUGCCACAAAAUAAACAUGGAUCGUACACGUGUCCAAAGUGCAACAAAGUAAUUUCAACAUCCCAUUAAUUUGCUAGUCAUGUGGCAACUCACUACAAUUAUGAAACUCAAGAGAAAAGAAAAAAGAGAUACAUGUCUAGGAUCCCAAAGAGAUAAAAUCUUCAGAUUCCAAAACUCAAUGUUGGAACAACAACUUUUGUUCAAGUUGUUGUUUCUAUUGAUCAGUCGCAUGCUGCUUCUGUCAAUUAUGAUAAUCAAAAUAUGAGUGCCCCUACUUCUCUUGUAAGCGAAGUAAAAGUUAAAUUAAAGCUUGCUGAUAAUUAAAAUAUAUUAUGCAAGUUCAAUUUAUAAUAUUUAUUUCUUUUAUUAUCUAGGUAAUUACUCUGUAUUUUUUUCCGGAUACUCAUCUUUAGACCAAUUAUAAUUGUAUCCUUUAAUUUAAUGAUUAAUUUUAUAUUUAAAUAGUCUUGUUCAGUGACUAUUUUGUGUAAGUGUGGAUGUUAAGUACUAAGCCUAUUUUUGAAAAGAAAUUUGUAUACAAUAUUUUGAAAUUAACGUGAAUCUCUUUCAAAAUUAAUGAAUUUUAUGUUAUAUUUUCAUUGGGGAAUAAGGUGUUGCAAAAAAAAAAUAUUAUUUUCUAAUGAACACCAAUUUUCAAUGAAAUUGAAAAACCUCUAUAAAAAUUGAGUGGACAAGUGAAACCAUAUUCUUCUUGGAAAUAUAACCAUACUAUUGAGUUUCACGAACCUAAAAAAUAUAUUGGAAAAGAAAUUUGAAUUUAAAAUAAGUCAUCCAUAUAAUUAUAAAGUGACAGUCAAGAAAAUAAUACUUCAAUGAUUAUUAAAAUAAAUGUCACUUUAAGUCACCUUAGCACCUCUACAGGUAGAAAAUAACAUUUACAUCCAUGUGCCUCCAAGUCACUUGAUAAACUGAUUAGUUGACUAAUUGUAUGAUUGUAAAUGAAGGGUUACAACAAAUACUACCUUGAAAUAUGGAGAUCUUCUCUAACCUUUACUACCUUGAACGACUUAAUAGUUGACUUCUACUCCCUCCAUUUUAAAAUAUAAGCAAAAUUCACUUUUUAGGUUCAUUCAUUUAAUGAUGUAUGUGGUUCAUAAUAUGGACUAAAUACAUCAUUAUAUGAAUGAACCUAAAAAGUGAAUUUUGCUUAUAUUUUGAAACGGAGGGAGUACAUGUUAAGCUAGUAAAUGCAGGAGAGGUUCCAUUCUUCUCAAAUAUUUAUUAUGACGGUGUAAAGUUAUAUUAUACAUGCAUUCAAUGAUGUGUUGUCAUUUCAAUAAUAAAUACGGUCACUUAUUUUAUUUUUUUUGAGAGAAAAUAUGGUCACUCAUGUAUUUUCAUAUUCAUGAACUAAUGUGGCAUGUUCAUAUUUAUUUUGGUUUUUGUUUUUUUUCCUUUUUUCUUCUACGAAAUUACUUGUGUUAUAUUCAUCAACCUACAAAUAUUCAUAAAUAAUAAGAAUAAGCUAGUGUUUCAACUACUUGUUUUAAUUUUAGAUCUUAUAAAUCAAAUAUUAUAUGUGUGACUAUUUCUUAAUAUCAAAUAUAUAUUAUUUUAAUGUCCAAAUAUAUUUUGCUGAAGUUUAUUUGACUAAGUUUUGAUUUCCUUCAAUUUUAUGGCUAUUUUCCCCUAUUUAGUACAUUCUUCUUCAUGACAGAAGUGUAGAAUAGUUUCUUAUGUGUGUUAUGAAUUUCCUUUGCGAACAAAAUUUUAUGAUAAAUAAUUUAUGUUGUUGCAGAGAUAAAAGGAACUAUGAGUGAAUUACCAGAGAAACAUGACAACCAUGAUAAGAAAAAAGACAAAUCAGAUGAAGAUUCAAGAAAUAAAAAAGUGUCAUCUUCAAAUGCUAGCAAGACUAAGGAUAAAUAACAUCAAAUGAAAUUUUCAAGACCAAAUGAAGAAGAUUCUAGACAGGGGCAGAUCGAGGGUGUUUUGUUUCAGGUGUGGCUAAAUUUUAUUCAUAUCAAAAGACUUAACAUAAAUAUUUUCUUAUAAUUAUUUCAUCAUUGUUUUUAAUUUUAGUAAAAAGAAAACAUUUUUUUGGCUGAUAUUUUUUCCACGCUAAAAUCCGAACGUUUAACAUUUUUUUUAGGGUUUUAUAGGGUUGUACUUGCAGUGAGUACAAUAAUAGAAUAUGGGUUAUACUGUUUUUGAGAUGCCUUGAGAAUGCUCUCAAGAGGUGUAUUUAUAGCUCUCCGUGAGUUUGUUUUCUCGUGACUUAAUCUCCAAGCAAGUUGGGCCUCAAGUAUUUUUAUUAAGCUCUAGAUGCUUCUAGAAGAUAGUUGAGGCGACUCCUCUCGAAGGGUGCGCCUCGGCCUCAAGAGUUUUCUGGAGGACGCCUAAGCCUUUCUAGAGGGUAUUUGAGCCCUUAGGAAUAUAUUGGCGAUCCACAACCCCCUAGCACGAGUCUUGGGACAAGGUGAAAUUAUUAACUAUGAAGCCGAUAGUUCAUAGCCCCCCAAGCACGAGUCUUGGGACAAGGCGAUAAGGUUUCCUAUAAGAUUGAUGGUCCACUGCCCCACAAGCACGAGUCUUGGGACGAGGCAAAAUGGUUAGUAUUAAAGUUGUUUUAGACAUUCAAGUGUGGGUGGCGUCUAUUGUAUAUGAAUCUUAUGGCUCGUUCGCUAGCAUAUGCUGCAACUGAAGUCUUCGUUUUUGUUAGAUUUAGAUCUAACGGUUGAGCUUUGGAGACUUUUCAUUUUUUGCUGACGUGUUCGAAUCAUGGCGUCUUUUUGAUGUAAUUCCCAAUAGGUGAACCAUGAACGACGAGUUAUAACUUUAUGAUGUUACUUUAUGAAAUAAUCUCUUAUUGGCGGGCCUUGAAUGGCUCCCUAGUAUUUUACAUGUACCCUUAUCAAUUUUACCUUAGUACUUUACUGACAUCUUAAGGAAGGCUUCCGUACGCUUCCCACUUGAAUGUAGAAUUGGCCGCGUCAGAGCCUUGUAAAGUUGUGGCUCUGUAGGAGAAUGCAUUCCUCUCGGUAUGUUUUUUUCUUUCUUCUUGAGAACAUAACUUUAUCAUUUGUGAAUGUGAUGAAUGAUUAUUUUUUUAUUUGGUAGAUUUGAUUUAUUCCUUUUGUAUUUAAGGGCGUUAAAUUGCAAACCUUAAUCCAACACUUGUUUUGAGCUUUGAUUUUAUUCAAGAUUAAUUUUUUUUAGAUUUAAAUAUUGUUCGACAAUAUAAAAUGAAUAUUUUUUUUAUUUAUGGCAAAGUUGUGUUAAUUGAUUUUUAAAAGGAACGUGGAUUUAUAGAAAUAUAUAGAGUACGCAUCCCUCAGAAUUUCCUCAAAAGCAUCCAAAGAAAUCAAAUUAUCAAUAUAAACAUGCUUACAAGGUUGUUUCAAUAAUUGCAUGAAUAAGAACAAUUGGAUCAGAAAAAUCUAGUUGAUAUUGCACAACCCAUUUCAGUUUAAUUUUUCUUAGAAAAUAUUUUUUGUCUUGUGUUUUAAUUCACCAAUAAUUAAUAUAACUACCUAUUUUCUAAUUCUUUCAUUGUUUAGCAAUAGGAAUUUUAGGGUUCUAAUUUUGAGAAGACAACCUUUAUUUACUUGGCCAACUUGUUGCUGCUAUUAUAUCAUAAGUUGGUCUUAUACUCACGGUUGCGGAUGGAAAAUUUAUGGGAAGAAAGGGAUCUCUGCAUAUUCUUUGACCUUCUGGAGUUGGAGCUGAAUUUAAAUCGAUGGAUACACCCUUUCCUUUGUUCGAAGAAUUGGUUUGAGUAACAGGUUGAAACGCAACAUGCUCAAAUUUGUCAAAAUAUUAUAAACGAUUAGGCAUUUGAAUUUCACCUGAAGGUGGUGACAUCUCAUAAUAUGAGUAAUAUGGAGAAAAAUCAUCAUCCACUUCCAACUCAGGAAUCUUUUCAUUGGUGUUGAGAUUGAUACAUGCUUCUGAAUUUCCAGUAUUUUGUGUUAGACUGACAUAGCUUGCUACCAAAGGACCAUUCACAUUACCAUCACCUUGAAUUAGUGAAGGUUGAUCAGAGGCGAACAUGUGCAAAGUAACACCAUUUCCUUUUCUUAUUGUGAUCAAGUAUCCACCAGGAAUUACUCAAUCGAUAACACAAGUGAUUUCCAUUUGUAGCCUGAUUUCUUCACGAGGAUUACUUGGGGGUAUUACUGGUGUAUCAUGGUCAUGGCUGUGAUGUUUCCCUUGUAGUCCACUCAUUGUUCUUUUAUCUCUGUAAUAACAUAAAUUAUUUGUCAUUCACUAGUGAAGAACACUUAAUCAAUUAAGUAUGGAACUUGAUUAAGCUAACUAUUAAUCUAGGUUAAUACAGAGAUAAAAGAACAACGAGUGGACUACAUUUGAAACAUCACAACCAUCACAAUGAUACAUCGGUAAUUCCCCCGAGGAAUCCACGUGAAGAAAUCAGGUUAGGAAUGAAAUUCACUGGUGUUAUCGAUGGAAUAAUUCCUGGUGGAUACUUUCUCACAAUUAGAAAAGGAAAUGGUGUUACUUUGCGCAUGUUCGAUUCUGAUCAACCUUCACUAAUUCAAAGUGAUGGUAAUGUGAUUGUUCCUUUGUUAGCAAGCAAUGUCAAUCUAACACAAAAUACUGGAAAUUAAGAAGCAUGUAUCAAUCUCAACACCAAUGAAAAGAUUCAUGAGUUGGAAGUGGAUGAUGAUUUUUCUCCAGAUUACUCAUAUUAUGAGAUGUCAUCACCUUCAGAUGAAAUUCAAAUGCCUGAUCUUUUACAAUAUUUUGACAAAUUUGAGUCUAUUGUGUUUCAACCUGUUAAUCAAACCAAAUCUUCGAACAAAGGAAAGGGCGUAUCCAUCGAUUUAAAUUCAGCUCCUACUCCAUAAGAUCACAGAAUCUACAGAGAUCCUUUUCUUCCCAGAAAUUUUCCAUCUCCAACAGUGAGUAUAAGACCAACUUAUGAUCUAAUAGCACCAACAAGUUGUCCAAGUAAAUAAGGUUUGUCUUCUCAUAAUUAGAACCCUAAAAUUCCUAUUGCUAAACAAUGAAAGAAUUAACAAAUAGGUAGUUAUAUUAAUCAUCGCGAAAUUAAAUCACAAGUCAAAAAAUAUUUUCUAUGAAAAAUGAAACUAAAAAGGUUGUGCAAUAUCAACUAGAUUUUUCUGAUCCAAAAGUUAUUAUUCAUUCAAUUAUGCAAACAAAUAUUUAUCAGAGAAGAAUUAUACAACCCUGUAAGCAUGUUUAUACUGAUAAUUAUUAUUUUUCUCCCUUAAUUUUUUUUCCUUCUUUUCUUUUUCAACUACACCAUUUUCAUUCUUUUCAAAUACACCUUGUUCAGCCUCUUCCACUACUACAUCUUCAUUCUUCUUUGUGACUUUUGGAACUAAAGUUGUUAAAACCUUCUUGCUCCUCAACUCAAUUACUAUACAACUUUCAUUCUUUGGAUUAUCUUGUGUAUUAUCAGAAAAUCCUUUGCUUGAUUGAUUUUAUGUCUGCUUUGCCAACUACCCUAUUUGAUUAUCAAGGCUAUUCAUUGAAGCCUCAUUAUUUCUUUGCACAACUUCUUGACUAGGCUUCAUCUCUUGAAAAUUGGUUUGAGUCAUUUUUGUAACACCCCGUUACCCAAAAGUAAUUAAAUAAUAAUUAAUUCAACAUCAGAGUAAUUCCCAAACGGGCAUGUCACACUACAUUUUCAAAAUUUCUUAAAUAGAAUAUAAAAUCUAUUUAAUAAAAAUCCUUCAAAAUCAUCAUUAAUUUUGCAGCGGAAAAUUUGCAUCAAAACAACAACAGAAACUGUUUAAACCUCCAAAAUAAUAUCUUGGCAUAAAGCCUUAACAACAUAAUUCAACCAACAUAGGGCCACAACAUCAAGUUCCAAAAUAAGAUACAUAGGAAAGAAAAACAAUAAUAAUUCCCAUCCCACGUAUCAGAGCCCUAGACACGACACUUGAGCCACCACCAACUACUCAGGAUCACCUGCAAGUUACCCAUAGGAAGGGCAACAUUUUCAAGCAGAAGGGGUGAGAUUCACAACAAUAAAAUAUAGAUAUUAAAAUUCAUCAAUUGAAUCUAACACCCUUCUGCUUGAAAAUGUUGCCCUUCCUAUGGGUAACUUGGAGGUGAUCCUGAGUAGUUGGUGGUGGCUCAAGUGUCGUGUCUAGGGCUCUGAUACGUGGGAUGGGAAUUAUUAUUGUUUUUCUUUCCUAUGUAUCUUAUUUUGGAACUUGAUGUUGUGGCCCUAUGUUGGUUGAAUUAUGUUGUUAAGGCUUUAUGCCAAGAUAUUAUUUUGGAGGUUUAAACAGUUGCUGUUGUUGUUUUGAUGCAAAUUUUCCGCUGCAAAAUUAAUGAUGAUUUUGAAGGAUAUUUAUUAAAUAGAUUUUAUAUUCUAUUUAAGAAAUUUUGAAAAUGUAGUGUGACAUGCCCGUUUGGGAAUUACUCUGAUGUUGAAUUAAUUAUUAUUUAAUUACUUUUGGGUAACGGAGUGUUACAAUUGGUAUCAGAGCAGGUUGGUCCGUCCGGCCAAGUAGUAGAGUCGUGUUGAGCCACCUAGGAUAGAGUGUCAACUCUAAUGUUGUUUUGUUUAUUGUUCUGAUUGUUGUUUGUGGUGCAGAGUUAUGUUUUAGAGGUAUAUUUUCGAGGACGAAAAUUCUUAAGUUGGGGAGAGUUGUAACGCCCCAAUUUUAUUUAAUUNNNNNNNNNNNNNNNNNNNNNNNNNNNNNNNNNNNNNNNNNNNNNNNNNNNNNNNNNNNNNNNNNNNNNNNNNNNNNNNNNNNNNNNNNNNNNNNNNNNNNNNNNNNNNNNNNNNNNNNNNNNNNNNNNNNNNNNNNNNNNNNNNNNNNNNNNNNNNNNNNNNNNNNNNNNNNNNNNNNNNNNNNNNNNNNNNNNNNNNNNNNNNNNNNNNNNNNNNNNNNNNNNNNNNNNNNNNNNNNNNNNNNNNNNNNNNNNNNNNNNNNNNNNNNNNNNNNNNNNNNNNNNNNNNNNNNNNNNNNNNNNNNNNNNNNNNNNNNNNNNNNNNNNNNNNNNNNNNNNNNNNNNNNNNNNNNNNNNNNNNNNNNNNNNNNNNNNNNNNNNNNNNNNNNNNNNNNNNNNNNNNNNNNNNNNNNNNNNNNNNNNNNNNNNNNNNNNNNNNNNNNNNNNNNNNNNNNNNNNNNNNNNNNNNNNNNNNNNNNNNNNNNNNNNNNNNNNNNNNNNNNNNNNNNNNNNNNNNNNNNNNNNNNNNNNNNNNNNNNNNNNNNNNNNNNNNNNNNNNNNNNNNNNNNNNNNNNNNNNNNNNNNNNNNNNNNNNNNNNNNNNNNNNNNNNNNNNNNNNNNNNNNNNNNNNNNNNNNNNNNNNNNNNNNNNNNNNNNNNNNNNNNNNNNNNNNNNNNNNNNNNNNNNNNNNNNNNNNNNNNNNNNNNNNNNNNNNNNNNNNNNNNNNNNNNNNNNNNNNNNNNNNNNNNNNNNNNNNNNNNNNNNNNNNNNNNNNNNNNNNNNNNNNNNNNNNNNNNNNNNNNNNNNNNNNNNNNNNNNNNNNNNNNNNNNNNNNNNNNNNNNNNNNNNNNNNNNNNNNNNNNNNNNNNNNNNNNNNNNNNNNNNNNNNNNNNNNNNNNNNNNNNNNNNNNNNNNNNNNNNNNNNNNNNNNNNNNNNNNNNNNNNNNNNNNNNNNNNNNNNNNNNNNNNNNNNNNNNNNNNNNNNNNNNNNNNNNNNNNNNNNNNNNNNNNNNNNNNNNNNNNNNNNNNNNNNNNNNNNNNNNNNNNNNNNNNNNNNNNNNNNNNNNNNNNNNNNNNNNNNNNNNNNNNNNNNNNNNNNNNNNNNNNNNNNNNNNNNNNNNNNNNNNNNNNNNNNNNNNNNNNNNNNNNNNNNNNNNNNNNNNNNNNNNNNNNNNNNNNNNNNNNNNNNNNNNNNNNNNNNNNNNNNNNNNNNNNNNNNNNNNNNNNNNNNNNNNNNNNNNNNNNNNNNNNNNNNNNNNNNNNNNNNNNNNNNNNNNNNNNNNNNNNNNNNNNNNNNNNNNNNNNNNNNNNNNNNNNNNNNNNNNNNNNNNNNNNNNNNNNNNNNNNNNNNNNNNNNNNNNNNNNNNNNNNNNNNNNNNNNNNNNNNNNNNNNNNNNNNNNNNNNNNNNNNNNNNNNNNNNNNNNNNNNNNNNNNNNNNNNNNNNNNNNNNNNNNNNNNNNNNNNNNNNNNNNNNNNNNNNNNNNNNNNNNNNNNNNNNNNNNNNNNNNNNNNNNNNNNNNNNNNNNNNNNNNNNNNNNNNNNNNNNNNNNNNNNNNNNNNNNNNNNNNNNNNNNNNNNNNNNNNNNNNNNNNNNNNNNNNNNNNNNNNNNNNNNNNNNNNNNNNNNNNNNNNNNNNNNNNNNNNNNNNNNNNNNNNNNNNNNNNNNNNNNNNNNNNNNNNNNNNNNNNNNNNNNNNNNNNNNNNNNNNNNNNNNNNNNNNNNNNNNNNNNNNNNNNNNNNNNNNNNNNNNNNNNNNNNNNNNNNNNNNNNNNNNNNNNNNNNNNNNNNNNNNNNNNNNNNNNNNNNNNNNNNNNNNNNNNNNNNNNNNNNNNNNNNNNNNNNNNNNNNNNNNNNNNNNNNNNNNNNNNNNNNNNNNNNNNNNNNNNNNNNNNNNNNNNNNNNNNNNNNNNNNNNNNNNNNNNNNNNNNNNNNNNNNNNNNNNNNNNNNNNNNNNNNNNNNNNNNNNNNNNNNNNNNNNNNNNNNNNNNNNNNNNNNNNNNNNNNNNNNNNNNNNNNNNNNNNNNNNNNNNNNNNNNNNNNNNNNNNNNNNNNNNNNNNNNGAUUUUCUUAUUGUUUUUCAUUCCUAUGUAUCAAGUUUUGAAUAUUGCUGACGUAGCCCUAUGGUUGUUGAAUUUAUGUUGAUAAGGCUUUUAUGCCAAGAUUUAAUUAUGGAUAUUUAAACAGUUGCUGUUGUUGUUUUGAUGCAAAUUUUCUGCUGCAAAAUUAAUGAUGAUUUUGAAGGAUUUUUAUUAGAUAGAUUUUAUAUUCUAUUUAACAAAUUUUGAAAAUGUAGUGUGACAUGCCCGUUUGGGAAUUACUCUGAUGCAUGUUUAUUAAUUAAUUGAUUUUGGGAAACGGGGUGUUACAAUUUUGACAAAGUUAGUCAUGGCUUCUUCAAAAGAUGACGACUUUCUUUGUUGUUGAGGGGCUGGAUUAGGUAAGAGUGGAUUCAAAGUGUUGUUUGUUGUAUAUUUGUAUGUUGGCCUCAUUUUUGCUUAAACAAAUAAUGUACAAGACCAACAACAUCACAACGUGCCUUAUUUCGCUAUCUUGAAAGAUUUUUUUUCAACGUGAGAUCACUGAAGAUUUUAUUGAAAAUAUGAUUCACAUGGAUUGCUGCCCAAGAAGCGUGUGUUUCUAGAAGUUUCAAAGGCGAUUUAUAUUUGCCUUGUUUCUUAAGCAUGUUGUUGCAACUUUUAAGGAAAUAAUAUAUAUGCUUCUAGAAUAUUGUGGAGACUGAAUAUAUGAUUUGGUCUGCUGAUUUUUUAGCCUAUGACAAAAAAGACCAUUCUAUUGAAUGGCUAUAUAAGGAAGACUCAGACCCUAGUUUUAUUUACCAGUUCAAUAGUAUUGGAUUAAGUCUUUUAGGGUUUAAAUGUUAAGUCUUGUGCUUUAUUUUGUAUACCUAUUUGUGUGCUAUCAUUGAUUCAAAGCAUAGAGAUGUUUUUUUGGUUGAGUUGUAUUUGUGAAUCUCUCUAAAGCUUUUAAGCAAAGAGUAGGUUUUGUUUAUUGGAGUGUGUCUCCUUCUUGAUUGUAUUCAAUGUAAUCACGGGUUGUGUGAUUGAGUAGAUAUGAGAUGAGAUCUCAAAUCUAGGAGUUCUUAGGUUAAGUCAAUACGGGUAGUGUCUAGGUGAUAAGUUGUAAACUUGGAGUUUGCUGAGAGCUUAGAACAAGAACUACACUAGUGGACUUCCUUCUUGGCUUGGUAGCCCCCAGAGUAGGUGCGUUUGUCACUGAACUGGGCGUUAGCCUGUAAUUUCGACAGGCUCAUUUAAUAUGGUCAACAUUUAGUUGACUUUUAACUUUGCCAAAAUCGAAGGCUUUGUCAUUCUAAGUCGAGGAUUUCGACAAGAUAGCAAGCUUAGCGCGCAUAGUCAGAAGUUUGACAGAGCAAGUCUGAAAGUGCAAUCCCAUCGAAGUCAAGCAUUCAAGGCGGGAAAACACGAUUUCAAGCACGAAGGCAGUUUCCUUAAUGGAAACGUGGGGCUAGCAGUUGUCCAAGAUGGAGGAAGUGUUGAUCGUGGGAUUAGUCUUUUGCCAGUUAUUUUAUUUAGGUAUAAAUAAGAGUUUCCAAGUCGGAAAAUGGGUCGCAAAUCAUUUAUAGAAAUUCUACAACACUCAAACUACCGGCGUCUAGGGAAACGAGUUAUACAGAAUGUAUGUAAACUAAUUUGCAGACCACUUUACUUUUAAUACAAUGCAAUUUACAUUUCCUUUAAGUUGAUGCGUUUAAACUUUUACCCUUUUCUUUAAUUUUAUGUUGCUUUUACUUGCAAUUUCAAACCUGUCGAGAGACCGUGCCUUUUUUUACUCUAAAACCUGUUCUGCUCUCUAAGUAACCUGAGUGCAUUUCGUGGCCUUUUUCAAACCAUUUUCGAUCAAAACCUUUUCACAACAUGUCCUGAGAUUUCUAGUUUUCCGAAAACACUGGUAAACACUGGGUUAACAAAUUACCUGUGCCAUUUACGUUUCUGUCUUUUAUAUUUUCCUCGAUCUAUUUGUUUAUCGUUAGCUCGAUGUUUAAACAUUAAUCUGAACAUAUUGUUUGUGUCUCGUGUUGAAACAUCGUAUAAAACAUCAGGAAGAUAGCAUGCCAGAAUUUCAAUUGGUAUCAGUGCAGGCACCCUGCCUGUUUUAGGGUGAGCUCUAUGGAAGAUAAAUUCUGGACUUAUGGACAGAUCUAAGGAAGGAGGUAUUUGAUGUUUUAUAUAUAUAUAUAUAUGCCAAUUAAGGGGGAGUAUUACCUGAGGGGGAGUAGUAUGCUUUAAUGAUCUGUCGUUGAGGGGGAGCAUUAUUUUUAACUAGCCUGAUGAUGUCAUGAUGCUAGUUUAUGUGAUUUAUGUAUGGAUGGAUGUCGGUGUGUUGUGCUUCUGGUGUACUGAUGAUGUCAUACCAGAUGUCCUGACAUCCUGAUGAUAUGAGAAUUUAUUUUUCUCUGUGAGCAUUGUAUGCGGGACUUUAUUUCUCCCUGGGCUGAUUACUUUUUAUGAGAGCUUAUUUCUCUCUAUGAAGUUUAUUUCUCUUGUUCGUUCGUUUGUGAGACUGGGUUCUAUUCUAUUUUGUUGUGUAUGCCUUUGAUGUGCUGGACCUAUUUUCUAAAGACAAGUUUCUCUUUAGCCUAUCACAUCUCCUUUCGGUCUUAGUGAGUGUGUUUCUCUAACAACCACGCCUAUUUUCAUGGUUGAUUACUGUUAGAAUCGUUGAAGUUCGAAAGAAGCAAAAGGAAAGAACAAAAGCCUUUGCUAGCUUAUGGGCAUGGUAAUUACUAAAAACACAUUGUUGUUGCGUUUUUUUCCUUAUUUUCCACGCUUAGGGAAAAUAAGUGCAACUUUCAUUGUUGUUAAUUAACUCAUUUAUUUAUGGAAGAAACUUGUUUUAUAACAAUAUCGCACCCUGCUUGUGCAUACUUUCAGCGCUGUAGGACUAAAAAGCGUUCAACUUACUUGCUUUUGUUCUUUCCUUUUGCUUCUUUUUUUUAAGGGAACAAAGGCUCUGUUUGGUAAAAAUAGUGGAUAGCUAAUAAGCUAGUUGAUAGCUUUUAGCUGAUAAGCUAACUGAAGUGUUUGGUAAAAAUAGCGGUUCAAUUAGCUGAUAAAUGUAAAAUGACAUAAAGGGUAUUCUUAAUUCAUAAUAAAAAUUAUAUCAUUAAUUUAAGUAUUUGUAAUUUUGUAAACUAAUUUUUCUUUAAAAAAAUACUUUAAAUUUAUUAAUUUAAUAUAUCCUAUGUAUUAUAAAUUAAAUUAAAUUUUAUUCACUAAAAUUUUAUCUUAUAUUUAUUAUUAUUUAAGUGUUUCUACUUUAUAAAGAAAAUAACAUUUACAUCAAAAACAAAAAAAAAGGUAGCACUAAUAGAGUAAUAUUAAUAACAGAGAAUAAAGAAAAUAACACUUACUUCAAAAAAAUAAAAAUAAAAAGUAACACUAAUAGAAUAAUAGUAUUUUGUUUCGUAAAAAAAAAACGAAGGUAUAUAUUUUUUAAAAAAAAAAAAAAGGCCAGCUGAUAUAUAUACAAAAAUUGGAAUAAAGGGAUAGUAGUCUUUAUUACGUAGCUUAUUAUAAAAAUUAUAAUGGAUAAAAAUACAAUUUAAAUGAAAUAAUAAGGGUAAAAUUGGAAGAAAAAGUGAGAAGCUAUAAGAUAUAAGCUCAAACGCUACUUGGAAUAGCUUCUGAAAAAUAGCUUAUAAGCUCGUGAAAUAAGCUAUAAGCUCAUGGUGAAAAAGUGUUACCAAACAGAGCUUUUUUUGUCAAACGAGCUUAUAAGCUAUAAGCUAAAAGCUAAAAGCUCUUUUUUUUAGUUUCCCAAACAGACCCAAAAGCCCUUGGACUGAAUGUCAAUUUAAACUUAUCAAUCAAGAUAGGGGGUUAAAACUUGUUUUGAUUCUUUGGCAGUUUUGGACUAAAACUUGUUUUGAUUCUUUGGCAGUUUUGGAUCCCCAAGGCAAAAAAAUAAUAAAAGAUUUGACACGUGACAUCUCACUUAGGGUGUCACGUCAGCGUUGACCGAGUCAACAAUGGACUGGGGGUCCAAAACUGCCAAAGAAUCAAAACAUAGGGGGCUGUUUUGUAUUUAAAUUAGUUAGGGGUCCAUAACCGCAACUUUUGGAAAGAUAGGAGUCCAAAAGUGCAAUUAAGCCUUUAAUCUAUCAUGCAUAAAUUACACAUACGCAAGAGAGGAUCUAUUUCCUUAUGCGUGAUUGACAAUUGAUAAAACAUGUUUUACAACAAUUUAGAAGCUAAUCUUGUAGAUAAUGUGAUAGAAUGCAUAUUAAGUUUUUGUUAACCAAUUCAUUAAUUCAAUCUUUAGAUUAGAUUAAUAAAGAUAAUUUGCAAGAAAACUUACUUUUGGGGCUUUUCUGUUGGAAGCCGCUUUCAUCUUUAAUCAUCAUCAUCAAGCUAGUCAUUAUGAUCUAAUCUCAAAGAGGAUGCUGAAAAAAAUAAACACAAAUUACAAGAGUUAAUUCAAUUCUAGGGUUUCAUUGUUUGACAAAGGAAGAUGCGAUAGUGAGUUUAUAGAGAGAGCGCUUCGUUUUGGUUUUGAGUUUCUAGAGAGAGAGAGAGAGAGAGAGAUUUGAAGAAAAGAUGAACUGUAUUUGUAACAAGUGAGUGAGUGAGUUAGGUUUAUAUAUUUGGGUUUAACACUCAACGGUAUUAUAAGGGUACUUGCUUGGAAACAACGGCACUUAAGUAUUUUCCCGUUUGCAUAUGAAAUCCAAACCCAACCCUAUUUGUUUUAUGGGAAUAACCUUGUAGUGCUUCAUAAGAUUCUUUUGAGAGGAAUAAAAUUGUAUCAUUUCAUUAUUUAAAAAUGGGUUUAAUACAACUUGGUGGAUUAACUAAUUAUUGUUUAAGGGAAAUAAACUUAUAGCGUUUUAUUUGUUGUUUUAGAGGAAUAAAACUUUAUCUUUUCAUCGAUUAAAAUGUGUUCAAUACAAUUUGGUGGAUUAAUCAAAAUUUGAAAACUAGCUGAUAAUCUUAUGGCCUUUCCUAGCUUAUGGGCAAUCUCACAAGUUUGUCUCCGCACAAACUCAACAUUAAAGUUUACAUAAUAUCGUUGAAACAAAGUUUUUCAAUAAGAGAUAAUAGCAAUGAAUUCCACAACAUCACUCUAUGAAGAGGCUGUGCUAUCAACCAUUCAAUUUUAGUUUAAUUUGUGAACCCAAUUCAGUGCCCAUAGCAAACCCGAAGCUACUGUGAUAUGUACUUCACAACUUGGUGAAAACCAUUCAGUGUUGGCCAAAACAAAAACACCUCAGUCAUCUCGGCUAUACACACCUAGCUUAAUGUGGAAUACUCAAAGGAGUUGAAAUGGCGCAUUGUAAUAUACACACAUUGGAUGUGAUGCGUGAUUCUUAGCACGCGAUCCAAAUUAGCAAGGAGUUGAUCUCAUUGCUUUUCUUCAUUCCUUGUUCCAUUUCUCAUAAUCGAAACGUUUGUAACAACUAUUUCCUAAGAAUCAACAUGAUAAAACUAGUAAUAAGCAUAUAUAGUACAUUCAUAGAGUUGUUUGGUUUAGGCGGCUUUGACAUGUUCCAAGGUAUUUUUUUUCCUCUGCUACUCUUUCAUGGCUUUUUGAAGGAUUACUUUCAAAACUCGACUUUAAUACAAAUAAUCUAACUACUUUUACUCAAAAGUGAUUGCAAAAGGUCAGGAUUGAAUCACAGGUUCUGACCAAGUUAGAGUCUAAGACUAAAAAGUCAAAGGUUCUGAUGAAGUCAAUGCCAAAGAUGUAGAAGCCUCAAGCUUAUAACAUGAAGCUAAGAAACAUUCAAGAUCAAAAACUUUCAAAUCCAAAAUCUUGAACAACUCUCAGCAACCAAGAUUGAAACCUAAGGCACAAAUGAAGGGAAAAUCUUUCAGGACUAACAAAAGAGGACCCAUAAAGGAAAAAAAAAAUCAUUUAUUAUUUUACAAACUAGUCAUGAUCCCUUUUGAUUAGCUUUUGAAAAUAAUUGAGUCAUGAUCUAUUAUGGUUGAAGGAUAAAAAAAGCAAUAAAUGAGAUGGGUAAUAUGAAAAUGCAACAUAUACUUUUAAUUUGAUGGAACACAAAUGUUUAUUAUAAACAUAAAGAUAUAGAUAUAGGCGAAAACUACGAUACACCCACUUGAUUCUAUGAAAGUGUAUUUUAGAAACAUACGCCUUUUUAAUUAAACAAUAAAACCAACAUUUUUUUUUAAAAGCAAUUAUAAUAGUUGGUAUAGCUGUAACUAUAAACAUGUUAAGAAGGCAAUUAAAUGGAAUUGGUUUUUAUUUUAUUUUAAUUCGAUUAUAAAGUAGUUUCUUUAUAACUGGAAUCAUAAUUUUCUUUAUGAAUAGUUAAAAAAAACCAUUUAAAUCAUUUAAAUAAAAAUAUGAUCGAUUCCAGUUAUAAAUAAUCGAAUUAAAAAUAAAAAAAAAGGAUUACAUUCCUAAGAAAAAUUUGUAAAUGACUCAUAACAAACAUUGUAAUUUUUUUGGUUCUGUAUGGCACUUUAUUCAUAGGUGGUUAGGCAUGUUCAUGGCUUCCCCUUUUCAGGUGUCCGAUCAUUUUAACCAGUUUAGUUUGGGUGGUGGUUUCACAAAGGCACAUCGCUCUAUUCUUCAGGUUAUUUGGUAUGCAGUUGUUUGGGAAAUUUGGAAGGAAAGAAACAAUAGGCUGUUUAAUGUCAAAGAAUGCUCGGUUAAUCAGGUGGUAGACAAGAUUAAGUCGCUUGCCUUUACAUGGUUGAAGGUGAAGUAUUCCUCUCUUCCCCUCAAUUACCACGGGUGGUGGCUUAGCCCGUUUACUAUUUUGGGCAUAGGCUAAGUGUUUCUUCUCUUUUUAUCUUUAGCUUUGUACAGGAGAUUGUUGUAAAUAGUGAUUUAGACAUUGUUGUUUUUUCCUUAGUACGUCUUGUGCUAGGAAAGACUCUUUUAAAGUGGUAAUAUAAUUCAUUUUAACUUCUUAAAAAAAAAAAAAUAUUGCGUACAUUUUUAUUUUUAUUUUAAAUUUCUAACCCGAGCGAGAAUCGUAACACAACCUUGAUAUUCAUGAAGACUAUUUCUAAUUAGUAAGGAAGUUUAUAUUUUUUUCAUAUCACCACAAAUCAUAGGUGAACAACUUGAAUCAGAAACAAAUGUGAUAGAAGUGUGUGAUGCGAAAUUAUGUUAAUCUGAAAAACAUAUGAGCUCCUUCCUGUUCUUUUAUUCGGAAAUUUACAAUUGAGUUUUCCGUUAAAUUAACACAUCGGAAAAGAUUUAGGGUGUGUUUGGAUUGAAGAUUUAGGAGGGGAGGAUUUACUUUUCUUUUUUAAAUUUCAGACUAUAUAACAUAUUUUUCUAAAAUAAAUCCAGUGUUUCUAAAAUAAACCCAGUGUGAUUGAAGUAUUAUAUAAUCGUUUAUCUUGUUAAUAUGUUAAAUUUUUAAAAAACAUUUCAUAGUGUCCGUAUUUUAAAAAUGAAAAAUAAAUCACCCUCUCCCUUCCCCUCCUAAACCUUCCAUCCAAACACGCCCUUAAGAAGUUUUUCUAUUUUUAAAAUUAACCGAACCGAAUAUGUUUAUUAUAGUUUUCUGGAAAAUACCUAUACGGGGUGAAGUUGUUAAACUAAUUUUUUUUUUAAUGUAAGGGUGAAAAUUUAUCGUGUAAAAAUUAAAGGGUUAUGCUAACAAGUGCGGGCACAUGUUAAGGUUUCAAAAGAAUAAAUAAUUUAUAAAUUUUAAGUACAAAAUGUUCAUUUUUAAAAUUUCAAUGCGUUGAUUACACAAUUUCCAAAAAAUUGUUUUUUCUUUUGACUUUUAAAGAAGUAUUUCAAAGACAUUUGUUAACAUUUCCCUAAAUUAAAUUAUAAAAAGGACAGUUUUUUGAAUUAUCAAUUUUUUUUUUUGACACAAAAUUAUCAAUGAUUUGUUUGGGUACAAACAUACGAGUAUAGGGCAUAAUUUUUAUAAAAAAAAAAAAAUGAAAGUUAUACAACAAUAUAUAAAGAAGUUUGUACCGAACAAAAAGUUUCCAUUAAUGUUAUUUUUAAGCGUUGGCUAUCUUAAUCCGUUUUAACACAUUUAAUAAUUUUUUUUAAGGACAUUUAAUAAUUUUCUUAUUUUUGGUUUGAAAUUUCAAUGUAUUGAUUACACAAAUUCCAAAAAAAUGUUUCUUCUUUUGACUUCUAAACAAAGCACUUCAAAGUUAUUCCCUCCGUCCCAAAUUGUAUGUCGCUUUAAGGAAAAAAACUUGUCCCAAAUUAUAUUUCGUUUUACAAUACCAAUGUAACAUUAAUGUUACUUUUCCUAUUAUAACCUUAACUAUUUAUUACUCUCUCUUCUUUCAAUUUUUUCAUUUAUCUUUCCCCUAUUAUUUAUUUAUUAAGGAUAAUUUUGUAAAACAACUCAUAAUAUCUCUUUUCCGCACAAGAUUAAUUACAUUUUUUAAUAUGUGUGAAAUACCCAAAACGUCAUACAAUUUGAGAUGGAGGAAGUGUUUAUUAACAUUUUCCUAAAUUACAUUAUAAAAAGAACAUUUUUUAGAAUUAUCAAUGAUUUAUUUUUUGACACAGAAUUAUCAGUGAUUUGUUUGGUUGAAGGUACAAACGUACGAGUACAGAGCAUAAUUUUAAAAAAAGAAUAUGAAAGUUAUACACAAAAAUUUUCCACUAAUGUUAUUAUUUUUAAUCGUUGGCUAUCUUGCUCUGUUUUAACACAUUUAAUUUUCUUUAUUUAUUUCCUUCAAAAAAACACAUUUAAUAAUUUUCCUAUUUUUGGUUGCAUGAUUAUUUGACUUACUAAGUUAUCAUUACUUAUUUAAGGUUUCAUUAAAUCUCGGUCAAAUUAUCAAAAAUGGAUUGGUCCUAGAAGUAAGGGACAUGAAUUCCUUAACCAUAUGGCAAAGAUUCAAUUUCUAUUUCUGUGAACUUAACUCAGUUAAUAUGGACAAGGCAUAAAAUAUGUAAGGUUCGGGUUCAAAACCUAACCACCACUAAAAAAAGAGAUUCAAUUUCUAACUCGUGUGUAUGGUAAAAAUUUGGUUUAGAAGGAAUAACCUAUCUUAUCUUAUGUAUCCCACAAAUACUCUAAUGGAGAGCAGUCUUUUUUUAUUUUUUAAACAUGGAGAUUAGUCCUUGUUAGAAACUUCAUAUCAUCACAAUAACCGGAAGAAGAAAAAAAAAAUCUGCGUCCAAUUAAUUGUUUGCAAUAACAAUCAUAGCCUUUAUUAUAAUCGAUAGACAUGAGUUGUAAUUAUCUUUUUAAAAAAAAUGGCAAUUUAAUUUUUUUUAUCAUCAUUAAAAAAAUCCAAUUUUGAGAACAAUUUUUUUAUUUUUUUAGAGAGCCCAAUUUGUUUUAUCGAAAUAAAUAUUUGUUUGCAAAAAUAUUCUAUUUGUUUUUUUUUGCUUUCGCACCGGUUUCCGAUCCACCAAAGGUGAGCGACUAAUCUGCUUAUGCAUAGAGGCAUACGCACUGACCAAGUGUUAUUCCCCCUGGGAAUCGAACCCGGUAUUCCCCGGGUACGUAAAUAUCCUAUUUGUUUUAUCGACAAAAAAAUUUGUAUGAAAAUUAUAUAAACAAUUUAAAUGAUAGGUUAUUUUAAUGCAUUUAUAUAUAUGCAUGAUUUUAUAAUUUUCCAUUAAAGCCAUUUGAUGGAGAUUUUCCAGGAAAUGCGCCUAUGCAAUGCAAAGUUAGUAAAGCUAAGUCAUUAAAGUCGAUAAAUAUGGUGAAGCAUUUAAGUUUAAAAACAACCAUAUAUAUCUCAAUAAAUAAUGUUACAUAAAUAGGUUAAUUAGGAUGAAUAUGGUGAUAGUAAUCUUGUAAAAGCCAAUAUCAAUAUGGUUAGAGUCUUGUAAAAAAAAAAAAAAAAUCAAUAUGGUUAAGGCAUUUUUUUUUUUUUCUUUGAUAGAUAGACGAAAUAGAAAAAGUGAAAAACCAUAAUAAAUUUACAUAUAUAAAGUGGAGGUGUCAGAGUUCGAAUUCCGGUGAUAAUGUCUGAACGAACAAUUUCGACAUUUUUAUCAAUAGUGGUAGGACUUAUGAGACUAAUUAGAGUAGUCAAAAAUGGGCCGGACUAAUGGGCCAGCCCAUUAGCCCACAAUUUUGGGUCAGGAAGGGCCUAAAAAACUAGCCCAAAACAUAAUCGGGACUUUUUUGCCCAAGCCUAUUUGGCCCAUACGAAUUUGGGCCAGGCCGGGCUGGCCCAUGGGGUUCGGGCCGGUCCAUUAUUACUAUUUAAUUUGAUUUUUGUUAACAAAAUAGUAUAUUUUUCAAAAAAAUUACAAACUAUUUUAAAAUUUAUUAAAAAAAUAUUUAAAUAAAUAAAAAUGAAUGAAUUUAGCUUAAAGUUUUAAAAUUUUAAAGUUUAUAAAUUAUUAAUUUGAUUUAAUUGAAUGAAUAAUCUAGAGUUUCAUUAAUAUUCAAUGUUAAUAUAAAAAUUAUUUACGCUCUUAUGUCCAUCUAAUCAUAUUUUAGCAAAAAAAUAGUGGUGAGUGACUAAUAUAUUAAAAAUACAUAAAAAAUAGUGAAUAAAUUUGAAAAAUAAAAAAAAAGGCUUAAUUGCACUUUUGGACCCCUAUCUUUUCAAAAGUUGCAGUUAUGAACCCCUAACUAAUUUAAAUACAAAACAGUCCCCUAUGUUUUGAUUCUUUGACAGUUUUGGCCCCCCAAGGCAAAAUAAAAAUAAAAAAUUUGACACGUGGCACCUCACUUAGGGUGCCACGUCAGCGUUGACCGAGUCAACACUAGACUGUGGGGUUCAAAACUGCCAAAAAAUCAAAAUAUAAGGGGCUGUUUUGUAUUUAAAUUAGUUAAGGGUCCAUAACCGCAACUUUUGAAAAGAUAGGGGUCCAAAAGUGCAAUUAAGCCAAAAAACAAGGGCCGGACUGUCCCAUGGCCACAUAGGCCGGGCCGCGCCCUAAAAUAUGCUACCCAAUUAUAAAUGGGCUGAGUUGGACCGACCCAUUUAUAUAGUGGGGCCUUUCAAGCCCGGGCCAACCCAUUUUACACCUCUACUUGUGAGAUGCAACAGGGAGCAAACAACCAUUUACUAUGCACGAUAAGCUGUAUAGUAAUAUAAUAUAGAUAGAUGGACCAAAACUACAUUUAAUAAAAGAAAUUCUAGUUGCUCAAAAAAAAAAAAACUACUUAUGAUAAAGAUAACUUUAUUUAAAAUAUAAUAGAGUUGUAAACUAAUAUAUAUAUAAAAUUAAAUAUAUUAAUACAACUAAUAUAUUAUACAAUAUAUAAAUAUUAGUUUACUUGUCAAAAAAAUAUAUAUAUAUUAGUUUAAUAAACUUCAAAUAUUAAAAAAAAUUGUAACGAACUUAAUCAUUAUUCUCCACAGUAAAACAAAUUACUUUUAUCUUUUAGAGAGCCCAAUUUGUUUUUCCUUAUCCUUUAUCUUUAAAAAAAUAUAAUGGGUGGGAGUGAAUACAAAAUUGGAAAAAAAGUGCAACUGAUAUGAGUACUUCCAUUUUUUUCCUUUAUUCUUUAAAAAAACAUAACAAACUAGAUCGAGCAUAUCUAUAAUAUAUAUAGCAAAUAGAAAAUUUUGGGCUAAUUUUUUCAUCAUCUCAAUUAUACCUUUAAAUAACCUUUUUUAAAAUAAAAGUUGUUGUUUGUGUCAUUAAAAAGAAGAAUUUAUAUUACAUUUUUCUCUUUAUAUUUUUUGUUGUAUUUUAAAAGCAAUAAAACUAUAUGUUAGUUUGAUUUGUUAUAAUUUUAAAGUUACAAACAUUUAUAUUUUUACUUUUACGUGCACGUCUUUUUGUUAAUGAAUGAUAAAUAUAGCAGUUCACGUGCCCUUCUUUUUGCCGGUGAAUGAUAAAGAUACCAGUAUCUAAAAUACAAUAGAAUGCAUAUCGAAAAUACAAAAAAAAAAAAAUUAUAAUAAGAAAUUACGUUUGAAUAGAAUGCAUAUCAAUGUUUUAGCAAACCUUCAUUGAUCUUUUGUCAAAAAAAAAAAAAAAAAAACCUUCAUUGAUCUAUUAUUUUUUAUGAACAUCAAGGUUCAAAUAACCGUUACCGAUUAGGUUAGUGUCCUAUUUAAAAAUUAUGACAUUUUAAUCGGUUCACCUAGGAUUCAUGUAUAUUAAUGAUUUUUUUUAAGGAAUAUAUUAAUGAUUUGUUUAUACUUAAACAAAUGUCACUAUACUCCACACUACAAAAAAAAAAAAAUGUCACUAUACUCCGAUAUUAGCUGGCUAAUAUAAUUUCAUUCCAUAACUAAAGCAUAUAUUUUUUGUUUUUUCACGGGAUAUCUCAAGCCUAUCUUUUUUGUUACAAAGUACUAAACUGUUACAAAUAAAUAAGAUAAAGACCUGAAGUAAUUUUGCCUAUAUAUAUAACCAUCCAUCUCUAGGGCAUCUCCCAUUCCAUAUGUCAGCCUCUCUUCCAACAAAUCGCUUUUCCAAAAGCAUCCACAAUCAAACAAUGAGUCGGAAAGAAUUGUCAAAGAUUUCACCGUCGCCGGUUUCAUUGGCCACUCUCCUUGACCGUGAGCUUCGAGAAGAGAAAGGUGAAAAAAGGUUUGUUAAGUAUGGAGAAGAAAGCAUGACCAAGAAAGGAGAAGAUUAUGGUCUGAUCAAAACAUGUUGCCACCGGGUUCCCGGGGAUCCAUCAACUGCGUUUUCGGUCUUUGCAAUUUUUGAUGGGCAUAGCGGUAUAUCAGCCGCAGUUUAUGCAAAAGAAAACUUGCUAAAUAAUGUUUUGAAGGAAAUACCGAAAGAUAUUAUCAGCAGCAGCAGGGAUGCUUGGCUACAUGCCCUUCCUCGUGCUCUAGUGGCUGGUUUUGUGAAGACUGACAUGGAUUUUCAGAGUAUCAAAGGAGAAAUGUCUGGAACUACAGCUACGUUUGUUGUUGUUGAUGAGAGUAUUGUCACUGUUGCAUCUGUUGGUGAUUCGCGUUGCAUAUUAGUAGAUAAUAAAGGAGGAGGUGUAGUUUCUAUUCUUACUGUUGAUCACAGGCUGGAAGAUAACGUGGAGGAGAGGGAGCGUGUUAUUGCAAGUGGUGGUGAAGUUAAAAGACAAGAUUAUCGUGGUGGCCCUCUUCGCGUCUGGCCUGGUGGAUUAUGUCUAUCUAGAUCAAUAGGAGACGCAGAUCUAGGGAAAUAUAUUGUUCCAAUACCACAUGUUAAGCAAGUCAAACUACUUUCCAAUGGUGGCAAUGGAAGGCUUAUCAUAGCCUCUGAUGGUGUUUGGGAUGCUUUAUCGAAUGAAAUGGCAGCAGCAGCAUGUCGGGGUGUAGCUGCAGAAUUUGCUGCAAAGCUAGUGGUUGAGGAAGCUAUAAUAUCUAAAGGCUUGAGAGAUGAUACAUCAUGCAUUGUUGUAGAUAUUCCUUCUGAUCACCUCCCUGUAUUACAACGAAAUUCAACUACACAAAAGAAAUUACAUAAUCUUCUAAAACCGCUUCUUUUUCCUUUUCGAAAGAAAUCUAAGAAGAACUCUACAAACAAAGCUACCAGCAAGGUUGGUGUUGUUGUGGAAGAUUUAUUUGAAGAGGGUUCUGUGUUUAUAGAAAGGUUUGGCAAUGAUUUUUCACUUAAUAACAACUCUGAUCAGAUUUUCAGCUGUGCGAUUUGCCAAGUGGAUCAACGCCCUGGAAAUGGUAUAUCAAGACCGUUGAAUUCUCCAUUGGAAGUCCCAUUUUUCUGCACAAACUGUCGGAAGAAAAAAGUUAUAAUGGAAGGAAAGAGGCCAAUGGUCUAUCAGUAGUUAUAUACUAUUAUGAAUUGACUUCAAUUUUGCAUUGUUUAAUUUUUCAUGGAUUUUGAAUCGUAUGUUGGUUGAGUACCUCUUGUAUUCCUAUUCUUUAUUGAAAUUCUUCUUGAUUUAAUAAUUGAUAUUUGUAUACUUUUAUCUGACAGUGAUAGCAUGGUUGAUUUUACAAUUUCGGCGGUCAUUAUUAUAUGUGCAAGAUAGGUCUUUUAACUGUUUUGCAUUUUGUUACAAAUUUGAUUCUGGCUUUUACUCAGAUGUUAGAGUUUAGACUAACUGAUAUAGCAAAUAGCCAAAUUAUUGAUGGCAACACAUUCAAAUCCUAGCCUAUUAGGAUUGCAUAGAGCUUUCGUUUUUUGUUAUAAACUGAUAUCCUUCGUGCAUAAUUACGGAGACUACUCCCACGACUCUUGUGCGACCAAUAUCGGUGGAAAACUCUCCCUAAGAGGACCACAUAGAACUCUGUUAAGUAAAAUUUUAAAAACAUUUCAUUAUUUCAUAGAUAUAAAGCUUAUGUCAAACACGCCAUAUAUCUUUGCAAUGUGACAGCUCCAUAGUUGUCUUGAAAACACAAAACCUUAGGUUAAUUUUGUAUGUACAAAUAACUUACAGAGUUCUACAGACAUCUAAUAGAGUUCUACUACCAACACUCACUAUAGGUAGAGAUUAAACUUGAGUAUAAAACCUUAAAACAUUAAAAGUCAUAAAACAUAUACAAGUUACCGUCUCAAUCCACGAGCAUAAUGGAGACAUCCGAAAUUUGAAAAUUGCAGUAGAAACCCAAAACCCCCUUCCCUGGGUCAGAAAACGUUACAAUAUUCGCCAUUGAUUAAAUGAACAUUCCUGAAAAGAUUAAGGGAAAAAAAUCUACCAGAAACUUAUGUCAACUAAUUAAUUUUGCAAUGUGAUCGAGAUUCAAACCCUUUUUCCCAGCAGAGAAAAGUUUGUGAGUUUAGAGUACCUAGUGAGACUACAAGAAUUAAAACAGGAAAGGAAACAAUAACCGCACAGUAGCAGAACUGGAAAAAUGACAUCCAGACGGACCACUUAUCUGCUUCAGCUGGACUCCUUGAGCUUAUCAAGGGCUCCCCUUUAAAUGGCAAAGACUUCAUUACCAUGACAACAUCUUGAUUUCAUCCACAAUAUCCUUACAAUCUCUAGCCAAAUUGUUGAUGAUUUUUCGCAUUUCUAGCCUUCCAAAGAACCAAAAUAACGGAGUGCCAAAUUAACCAAUAACCCCUCUUUAUCUUCAAAUUUCUACCUUCACAACUGAAUGUUUCCAGUUGCAAAAAAAAUAUUAAUUGGGGUUUCCUCCCUCCCAACACAUAAAACACAAUAUGUCGAUGUGUUUUGUUGAAUGACAUGUCGCACCGCUAAAUUAUAUCUAGUUGGAAUUCGAUCCAAAAGGAGUUUCCAAGAAAAGGCAAUAACUCUGGAAUGAGCUGGAGUUUCCCACAAGUUAUCAAAAACUCUUCCACUUCCAUCUUCCAAUUCCAUAUUCCACUUCCCCCCUACUAUUCUGCCGUACUAACAACAUAUCAAACAAGACAUACGCCAUCUUCACUGAAAAUUCUCCACUGUUAUCUGCUCCAAUAAGAUCAUCAAGCAAAGACCUCUCCCAUACCAAUCAAACAAGAUUCUAUUCCAAAUAAACCUCCAUCUCCAAACUCCAACACUUUCCUGAAAAUCCAAACACAAUCAUAACGACAAGUUUUGAGGAUUUUUAUCUGUAGCUAACCACAAGGGAAUACUGCAAGCACAAUCUGUAUGAUAUUUGUUCUAAGCGGUUAUACUCUUAAUCAGAAACAACACUUAAUAUUCAAAUCACAGUAAAAAAGAAUUAAACUGUGCUUCUAAAUUAAUACCUUUCAUCAUUAAUACUUGAUACUUCUCUUACUGUAAGAAUAUACUCUAGAGAGGUAUUGGUCAAAAUCAUUCCAAUAAUAGGGAUGUAGACAUGUAGUGUAACUAUGCUGACAAAAUGCUUUUCCCACAUACUGAUAUACUUCAGUGCAAUAUUUAUGCUAAGCAUUUUUUAUAGCUACUCUUUCGCUAAAUAUAAAUUUUUAUCAAGUAAAAUUCUUUGAUAGUUUAGCAUCGUAUGCAUGACGUUUAGUGAAUCAAAAGUUCUUGGUCUUUAAAAAAGGUCUUUAUCUACAAUUUACGACUCCUUUACAUCGUAUGUUAGAACUUUAAAAGGUCUUGAUCUACAACUUUUGCUAAUUCUUUGUGUAAUUGUCUAACUCAGUAUUCAUAUGAAUUGCGUGUAUAAAAAUUAAAAGCACCAACUCAAUUCUUAUAUGACUUAAAUACAGUUUUGACCCCCUAUGUUUCACAAUCUGGCGAUUUUGGUCCCUAUAUAAAACAAUAACAAUUUUAACCCUUAAGUGCAAAAGAAAAAAACUAGCAAAUACAGGCAUUUCACAGUCCAUGUAAAUUAAUAGUUUAAAAUUUUUCAAACAUUCUAGAGAAGUAACAUAUGGUAGUUGUUCAAACUGCUUCCUUUCGUUUGAUUCCCGAUAGGACAAGGAAAGAUUGACAGAUGCAAGUUUACAGAAAGGGAAUACAAUAAUACUGUGAUUUCAGGUAAGAGCAAAAUUGUAACGGAAAGUGUUAAAUCACAAAAAUGAACAAGCCAAAAUAUGGUGGCAGCCAAUAAUAUUUCCAUGUUCAAUGCAGAAACCAACAAGCAAUCAAAUAAUGAAGGAAACAGCAAUAUUUACGAUGGAAAAUAUGUUUCAAACAAAAUUUGAAAUCCAGAAUUAUCUCACCGGAAUGCGAUUAAAAGCUUUUUCCCUGCACUAAUAUCAAGUUUCUAAUUUAUAAUCAAAAUAUUUUUGACUCCCUUCAUCUGCAAGUCUAGAUGCUUCAUUUAUGUUCUUCAAGUGCAUUACUCAAUGCAAACUGCAGAAGAAUUUAAUCUAUCUACAGGAGACUUUUUUUUUUUUUUUUUUUUAAAGAAGAAACUCAUUGUAUUUCAUUAGCUAAAAUGUGUCUAAUACACGAGGGUACAUCAUCUAUAACAUGGGAUCUAGGAUUAAAUGGGGUUGUUGAGCUAACUCAUGAGCGACCUCAUUCGUUUGCCUCCUAUUAAACUCGACAUGAGAGUUGUUUAAACAAUUAAGUAACAAUUGUCUACAAGCAUAUACGAUACAACUAAACUAACUACUAUCAUCUAUAUCUGAAUUUACAUAAUCAACAACCCUUUUAGAAUCAAGAGCAAAAUCGACAUUGUCGAACUGGAGAUCCAACACCCAUUCCAAAGUUGUACGUAUCCCGACAACCUCCACCACAUCUAUGUCACACAGGGAAUCAAACCAGUCUUUUUUUGCAAGAGCAAAAUCACCAGAAUCAUCUCUAAGGCACAUUCCCAAACGAACCCUAUUAAGAGAGGUGGAAAAGGAUGCAUCAAUGUUACAUUUGUACCUGCCAUUUGCCGAUUUCUUCCAUGCUUCCUCUUCUUGCAUCAUGGGACGCUGCUAGACCUUGUUUGACCUUUCAGAGCUACGAGACCUAAUUGUUUGAGCCACUCUAAAAUCAUCAAGUAAGUGGAUUGCAUUUUGAACUACUUGCGAGCUGGAAUCAUUCUGUUGUUGCCAAAGUUUCAGGUUACAUCCCUUGGAAAGACUCCACAUGACCGUGACCCCGUGGCCAUGAGCUCACAUUGAUUUGAAGAAAAUUACUGCAAAAGAGUGAAAAAAAGUGCAUUUAUAUUACAAUCUUGACGCAGAACCCUAUUAAUUUUGUCUCAUAAAUUUACAUCACGCAUUUCUUGAACAACUUUAGGACAUUCUAAAGGACAUGAAUAUUUUUUUCAUAACUGCUAUUACUAAGUACAAAAUCAAGUGGGCAAGAAACACGUUUGCUGCUAAUUAGGUGAGCAAGUGAUGGAAAACAAUAAUGACACACGCGCCAUAGAAAAUUCUUAACUUUGGGACACACUUUUAACUUCCAUAUCAAUUUCCACAGGCCAAGUACAUUCAGAUGAGAAUUAUCUGCAAUUUCAAACACACAUAUUCUAUUGGCACUACAUACAGAACACUUACCACUCUUCUCCCCCUUCCAACUCAAUUUAUCUUCCAUAUCAAGAGGUUGGCGAAGAGUAUUAAGAAUUAGUUGUGUAGUAGUCACAUCAAAAAGAUUAUAAAUUGAGGGAACUUUCCAAACCUUCAAAGAUUAAUCAAUAAAAUAACAUAACUUCACUUGCAACAAAAGCUCAAAUAUUGGGUUAUCCGUUGACAAAGACAGACCAUCUGUAGGCCACGGAGUACCUAAAAAGGUAUGUUACCACCAUGACCCCACCAAAAAGCAUUUAUCAUUUUCUCAAUGGCAUCAAUUAGCUUAUUAGGGAGUAAAAAUAGAAUCAUGAUAUAAGAUAUGAUAGAUUGGAGUACCAAUCUGCCAGCUUUGGAUAAGCACUUACUACUCUAACUAUUAAUUUUGUGCCAAAUGCGAUGAAGCCAAAUGUCGCCUCUUUGCUUUAAUUCUACCCACCAUAGACGUAAGAACAAGGUAUUUGCCAGUUCCCAUUAGUGCUCUGACUCCAAGGAUAUUGGUGAUGGCAUCCUUUAUAGGAGAGGGAACAACAUUAAUUGCUAAAGAAAACAUCAAUUCAAUCAUUAAUUUGACCUUUAUUUUCUCUCUUCUCUAUAAAAAUCUAUUUUUUUGAGAAGCUACUCCUAACAGCUUCUCGUUUAAAGCUGUUUUAAGAUUUUUUAUUUUUAUUUUCAUUUUUUAAAAAUCUGUAAUAAACAUAUGCAAUACUUUUAAAAGUGGUUAAUUUUUUGUUAAUUUUUUUUUUUAUAGAACAAACAGGAUAUUAGGCGCUAAUAUAAUUAAUAACUACAACUGUAGUAGUAUCAUUGCUAAAAUUGAACUUAGACUAUAUUCAAUCCUCGUAAACUUAGCUCAGUUGGUGUGAACAAUGCAUAAUAUAUGCAAGGUCCAGGUUCAAACCUCGGCCACCAUAAAAAAAAAAAAAAAAAAAAAAAGACAGUUUUUCAAGUAAAUAGAUUGAAAUAAAGAAAUGAGGAAUGCGAAUUAAAGGAGCUGAUAUAAUAAAAAAUUAAACAAAACAACCAUGUUUGAUGCAUAUGAUUGCCUUAUUCAAUUGCCGAUUUACUAAUCUUUAUGAUUUAAUGUUCUAUAUGAUUCUUUGAUCAUGUAAAUGUGCCAAUUGCUCCUGCGAUUUCCAAUAGUGUUCUUUCUAACCAGUACUCUUGUGCCAAGUCCAGUUGUCAUAUCCAAACCUGCGCAUGUGUCAGACAUUGAGAAUAUUUAUUAAAAUCUUUGGACCAUUUGGAAAGACGCAACAGUUCCGUCUUCAAGUUAACUGUCUCCAUUUCAAGAGAAGUGCGCACAUCGGCAUCUAAGGAGAAUGAGAACUCAUAGAAUCAUAUGCCACGGACCCUUAGUUUUCCAGUGCUUCGAUAAUUUUGCGGUUAUUUCUUUAGUUGUGUACAACUUGUCACCCUUGUACAAGAAUAGCCGGUCAUGCAUAUGAUGCUUGCAUUUCUCUAAUCCCAUGGCAUGCAUAUCCUCUAAAUUUUAUUGAUAAAUUGUCCCCUCGAAUUGUUGAUUAAGGAAGUAGAGCACUCUUAAAAGUGGCCGCAGGUGAAAGCACCUAUGAAAAAGAGCGUUGUUGUUGCAGUGCCUUUGAAGCGACACUUGGAGUUUUCGCCGCGCAAGUCCAUAGGCAAGAGAACACCAUUGCCGGCUAGCCGUAUCUAAUGACUCCCUGCCAAAACCCUGGAAAGCUACCGUGUAUGUGUCCACGAGAAGUCGGAAGGAGGUGAAUAUUGUGAGUCAGCCUUCAUAACACAACCAAAUGGUGAAAACACAAUUGCAAUUUCACCCAAUUUUCGAAUUCAAUGGUAUAACAAACAGUUGAGGUCACUUUCACAUAGCCAAGGUGGGGAGGAGCCACGAACAUGAGAGAAAACAAUCGUAAUGGAGCAGAUUGCAGCUGAUCGGCCAGGAAGCCCUAGGAGGGCAAAACCUUAGCAGACAUCGGUAUAGACCCUAUCUCAAUAAAAUCUUUAAUAUGUAUUGCCCUAAAUACCCUAAAUGCAUCUAAUCUAACAAUUAUAAGGUAUGUUAAUUGUAAGGUGACAUUCUCAAUACGUAUUGUUUUAGGUUAGUAUUAUUUUAUUGAUAUUAAAAUAUUUUAGUUUAUUUUCAUUGCUGUUUUAAUGGAACUAACUUUGUAUUAAAUUCCUCUCAAAAAAGGUUAUAAAAAAGGCCCUCUUAAGGGAAAAAAAAAAAAAAAAAACCUCUCGUAGUAACAUGUUUAUGGGAAAAUCGAACCUUUAAAAAAUUCUCAAUAAAUGAUUGAGAAAUACCAAAGCUUUAUUGAAAUUUAAUAUAUACUAUAGAUAUAGAAUUGAGUGAUUGAAUAAUUAUAUUCAGAAAACAUGUUCACAAAAAAAAAAAAAAAAAAAAUCUAGAUUUUAAAAGUAAAAGAGGAUAUUAAGAGUAAAUGAAAAAUUUAGUCUCUGACAAUUUUCUCUCAGUCGAAUUUAGUCUUUGAGAAAAAAUAAAUCCAAAUUUAUCUAUGAUGCUCUUUUUUUUUUAAGGUAAAAAAAAAACAUCAUGGAUUAAUUUGGUGACAAAUCGAUCAACCCAUUAUCAUGAAUCAAUGACUUAUUUAUCCGUGGUAUUAAAAUGUCAAUAAUUCAUAUGAAUAUAUAUUUCAUCCGUAAAUUGAGUCAAGAGAAAAUUGCAAGGGAAGAAAUUAAAUCUUCGCACGUAUUCAUACUACUUUUUUUUGUUAGUGUUACAAUGUAACGAGGCAAAAGAAAAAAAGAAAAAAAAAAGACGAAAUUAAGUUCCAAGUUUAUCUCUCAGGAUGAGAGAUUCCAUGUCAGGCGGAGGAUGGUUCCAGUGAGCAGAGCACUUUGCAUGUGAUCCUUCCUUCACUAUAAAAUUUGCACACAUAUUUUGUUCCCUAAGAACAUGCACCAAUGUUGUGUUCCCAUUUCCAUGUAAAGCAUCUCUAAUGUGAAAAAUGUCAAUAGCAUAUAUAAGUGUGCAAGGUAUGAUCACGACCAUCAAUAAUCAGGUCAACUCCUUCCUAACAAUCACUCUCACAAAAAAUGUUGACAUAGCCUUUUUUACUAUAAAAAUUAAGACCUAUUUACAUAGCACGUAACUCCGUUAAUAAUACAUCACCUCCAAUUUUAUAGUGAGAGAAACCUGCUACACGUAUUCAUAUAAAAGGGAGACAUAUUUCUCUUGGUGUAACUUAAUUUCAAUACAUCCGAACAACAAACAGGGCCGUUCCUAAGAAUUCGGAGGCUCGGCUCUGGGAAUGAAAAGAGGCCAGUGAUAAAAUCAAAACGUAUUUUUUUAAAAAAAAGCAAUGUUCUAUUUAUAUUUUUUAAAAGAUAAAUAUAAGGUGCCGUAUAUAUGAGGAAAACCCAAAGGUGAAAAUGACUACCGUAUACAUGAGAAACCCCCACUUAACACCAAAAGCAAGAGGACCUAAUUCUAAUAGGCGUAAAAGGCUAAAACAAGGGGACAAAAAAUGGCUGGGGGUAUUAAAAAAUAUUGGAGGGCAGUAGUACUAGUGGGUAUUAAAAAAAAAAUUGAGGCCCAUGACUGAGGGAGACCUAGCGCUGUUGAACUGUUUGCACCCCCUCAGGACCGGGCCUGACAACAAAUAACACAUAUAUCCAACCAAGAACCCAAUACACUAGGCUAUAACCUGGUUGGCUAUUUUUCUCAGAGUAUACCCUCUAUUCAAAUUUUCUCUAUCUACAAGACUCAAACAUGAGACUUUGCUUACAAAACUUGAAACUAGCUAGUUCCACUUGAACCACUAUAAUUGGUGUUUUCAUAUAAUUUUUGUUUAUGAUAAAUUACAUAAAUAAGGAUGAAUAAGUAAAAUUUUAGUAACAAUAAAACUGAAGGAUCAUUAACAAGGAAACUCCAUAUAAAACCUAAAGUCUUAACAAUUAAUCCCAAUAUUAAGUUGCAAAAUAAAAUAAAAUUAUCUUAUAAAAAAACUUAACAUUCUCAAAAGUUUACUAAUAGAUUGAAAUCUGUUUUUGGAAGACUCGACAAAAGUUCUUCUACUUCACAACGGGCAGCAACAUACAGUGCAUCUGCAUCCACACCCUCCACAUCAUCUAUAAGUAAAUUGAUACUCACCUUUCUCAAGGCCUUCCCAUGCAUAAGAAAGUAGUUAAUUAUAGUGAACUCAUUUUCAGUUCCCUUAAAGCCAUUAAUCUCUAUCUCCUUUAGAUCAAACUUCACACAUUUGAAAUCAUUUCCAGGGCCUUUCCAAUUUCUCUCUGGGAUAACAUUAUAUAUAGGAUCAUAAUCCUGCAAUAUAAUAAUACAAAACAAAAUGUUCAGUGUUUUAAUUUUUUUUUUCUUUUCAAAAGGCAAAUAAAUUAAGGGAUUUAAUUACAUCGUUAAUCAAUCACAAUUGUCGAAUCACUAUGAAAAUAAAUAUUUUAUCUUGAACGUAUAUUCCUUUUUUUUUAAUGGGAAAAUAUAUCUACCUUAAAAAUCAUAUAAAGGGUGAUUUGUCAUAGGCAGUGUAACCCUAUGAAACAAAUAAUCUCUAGAUUAUAAACCUAAUAUAUAAAAUCAUUUUACUUUUACACAUCAAUUCAAUCAAAUUAACACAUAAUUUUACUUUAUUUUGUGAAAUUAUAUAGUCUGCAAAUAUCUAUACAAAUUAAGUUUUGUAAAAAAAAAUACAAAUUAAAUGCAUAUAAUAAAUACAUAUAGAUAAUUAAUUAAAACAAAUUAAUUUUUUGUAACACUUACCAAAAGAUUUAUUUUAUCAACAAUUUCAAUUGUGAGACGUUCUAAGUCGGGGCAACUCUUUAGCAUGAAUGAGAUUCCCAUAAACUCAAAUUUGUGCAAAGCAGUCUUCAUUAUCAAAUGCUUCACCCUCAUUUUUCGGUACAACUUUUUUCUUCGUGCUUGAGUGUAAAUAACCUUAACAUAUCACACAAAAAACGUUAAGAAAUAUAAAAAUAAAUUAUCAAUUUCUAAAGUUUUUUGACCAAAUCAUUUUCAAAAGAAAUAUUUAUGCAACUGUAAUAAUAAAUAUUUAUUAAAAAGGUGAAAAGAGAAAAAUAUUAUUAAAGGGACAUUAAUCAUGAUGAUGAUGAAAACAACACUAAAAUAUUUUUUCAACCCAGAAUACUCUUCCUUUAAAAUAAAACCAUCAUCUGAAUUCCAGCACUUAAACAAACUCAAACUCUCCAACUUUUCACAAUUGGCCAAUAGUGCCUUAAUAACACAUAGCUUCACUUUCAUUCAACCCAAAGAUACUUCUUUGAGGGCAUGAAAAUUAACCAUUUCACAAGCAACAAAAUUACAUGCAUACAAUUUCAAAGAUUCAAGUUCUCUAUAGUCAUAAACAUAACUAGGCAAAUCAAACAAAGCCACCAACUCAUCAUGAGAAAAACUAUCUUUGAUCCAAGUUGGAUGAGUGAAAUCAAGUUCCAAAUACUUAACUCCAUUUCUCACAGCUGACGCAACAAAUUGAUCUAUUGAUGUACAAAUUAGGCAAGUGUACCAAGUGAUGAGACCGUUGGGACGUUACUAACCUAAUCGGUCGUCAAGAUGCAUCUACUGGUCACACGGUGAUCCUUACGUGUGGGGUCUAUACUUCUCGGUUGACUAGGUUUAUCCCUCAAUUGUUUGGUUGCACCUGCAGUUCACACGGUGAUCCUUACGUGUGUGGUCUUAACACCUCUAAGGUAAUUGAAAGCAUAGGCUUUAUAUUGACUUUCAAAGAUUUUCCCAAGGCAAUGAAAGGUUCCUGUAGGCCUACCCAUCUAUGAAUCUUUGGACACUCAAAGCACACAUGUAACAGCCUGAUUUUCGCUAGAAUUAUUUUAAUGGUUUUAAUAUGUGUUUUAUGUGCUUGUUUGUAAUUAAUUAUCAUUGGGUGCGUUUUCAUGGGUUUUUGUGUUGGGAGGGUAAUUUAGUAAUUUUUUGUGAGGAUUAUUUUUAGUAUUUUAGUGAGAACUAUUAUUUUACUAAGUUACUAGUGUGGUAAAUAGUUGUGAGCCGGUAAGUGACCGUUGUUAGUAUUUUACCGUUAAGUGUGUAGAAACAUUUUAGAAUUGUGAUUGGGUGGGUUAAGCCCACUAAGGCAUUAGGGACGUGUGAACAAAAUUUCUCCCUCUGUAACGUGUUCUAAGGCCUCUUGAAUCUUCAUUCUUGAUCUUCCCAAAGUCUUCACUAAUCUUCAGAUGUCUUGUUUUGCCGAUAUGCAUGAUUUCUUCAUGAAUUACAUCAAAAACAUCCUAGAAUUGAUAUGUUUCGGGAAAAAUAGAACUACAGGCUCGAAUAUAGAAAACAUUACAAAUGUCCCAAAAUGAUAAGCAAUUGAUCUAAUACUCCUCUUUUCUACUUGUAAAACAUACUGAAAAUGACUGAAAAACAUGCUAAGAAUAACGUAAGAUGACAUGUCAUCACGAGGCCAUAGAGAAACAUACUGAUACCAAGAAGACUUGAAGACUAUCAGCUAACUCCUGAUGAUGAAGUAGGAAGUGAUGGUGAGCUGGUACACUUUGCAAUGUUAGCAGAUUUUGAGCAAGUAGAUUAGAAAGUUGCAAUGUGUGAUAAAGCAUGGAAAUAAGAUAUGAUAGAUGAACUAAUGUCUAUUGAGAAGAAUCAAACAUGGAACUAAUCAAGCUUCCUGGUGGAAAGAAAGCAAUUGAUUUCAAAUGGGUUUUUAAGCUGAAAUUGAACCUUGAAGGGAAGAUUGUGAAGCACAAAGCCAGGCUUGUAGCUAAAGAAUUCUUAUGGAAGGAAGGAUUUAACUAUACUAAAGUUUUCUCACCAGUUGCAUGACAUGAAACCAUCAGGUUAGUCAUUGUAGUAUAGCAACAAGCAAAGCAUGGCUACUAUAUCACUUAGAUGUAAAAUCAGCCUUUCUGAAUCAAAGGGAAAGAAGAUAGAGUGUUCAAACUAAACAAGGCUCUAUAUAGCUUGAAAUGAGAACCUAGGGCCUAGAAUAAAAAAAUUGACAAAUGCUUUAAGAAAGAAGGAUUUAAGAAAUGCAUUGUUGAGCAUGGAGUGUAUGUAAAAGGAAGAGAAGAGACUAGUUUACUUAUCGUAUGCUUGUAUGUGGAUGAUUUUAUGUUGACUGGAAGAUAAAUUCAAGAUAUUGAAGAGUUUAAAUCAGUCAUGAAGUCAGAAUUUGAAAUGAUUGGUCUAGGAAAGCUUGCAUAUUUCUUAGGAAUAGAGAUUCUCAGAACCUCAAAAGGCUUGAUACUUCAUCAGACCAAGUAUGCUACUGAGAUCCUGAAGAGGUUCAAUAUGUUGGAUUGCAAUUCAGCUACCACUAACAUAUUAAUAUCAUAAAUGAAGUGAAAGAAAAAGAAGAAAGUGUUGAUCCAACACUAUUCAUGAAGCUUAUUGAAUCGCUAAGGUAUCUAUGUCAAAGCAGACCGAAUAUUCGCUAUUCAGUUGAAAUGGUGACCAAGUUCAUGAGUAAUCAUCUUAAGUCGUUAAAAGAAUACCGAGGUACAUAAAUGGGACACUACAUCAUGGCAUCCUAUUUUCUACUGGAGAAAGAUUUGAGCAACUCAACAUGAUAGGUUACUCAUAUGCUAAUAGUUUUUGUGUUCAUAUUACAAGGAGCCCUUAUUUCUUGGUCAUUUAAGAAGUAGUCAUUUGUGGCUCUCUCAAGUUCUGAGGCUGAGUAUGUGCUGGAAGAUCUCAUGAUUAAGCUGAAACAGACUGUCAAAUUGUUGAUUGAUAACAAGUCAACAAUUAACCUUGCUAAGAACCCCCAUUGCUUAUGGGAAGUUGAAACACAUCGAAACCAGAUUCCACUACCUAAGAGACCAGGUGAAUAAAUGCAAGGUAAUUGUUGUACACUGCUCAACAAAUGAUCAGAUAGCUGUUGUCUUCACAAAACUAGUCAAGAGUGCUCAACUUCAGAAGUUAAAUAGAGAAUUGCAAGUUGUUUCCUUUGAGUUUGAAUCAAGGAGAGGAAUGUUGAAAUAUAAUUGCAAACUCUUGUAUAUGUUUUGUUUGUAAUAUGUUCUAGUUAGUUAGUAACGUAACCGCUUCUCUAGUUUCUAGCUAGUUAGUUAGUGGCGGAGUCAGGAUUAUUAUAAAGUCUGAGCAAAAGAAAAUUGCAACACAUUUAUAGGGGUUUACAUAAGAAAUUGCAAGCAAAUAUUAAAAAUAUCUAAAGAAAUUGCCCAAUUUAUAAGAGUUUAUAUAAGAAAUUCAGAGGAAUUUACAUAAGAAAUUGCAAAAAAAUUGGGCCAGAGCCCGGGCGACUAUCCGGACUCGCCGAGCCUUGAAACCGCCCAUGGUUAAGACCGAAGGCUUUACUUAUUUUGCAAGCAAUAGAAAACAAGUUGUAUAUAUACAUGAUUCAUGUAAAUAAAGCCUAAGCCUCUUUCUAAUAAUUUCAUCUCUUUCUCUCAUAUUUUAACUAUCACCAUUCUCCUUCGAUUACACAAAACCAAUAUCAAUUUGUUCACCAACAUCCAUAAACCCCUCCAUCUUAAGAACAUGACUCAUACUAAAACGUUGAAAGAAUUGUAGUCCCACAUCAUGAGUAAACCUCCUAAGCCACCAACAGAAGAUAUAAAAUAAUAACUAAAACUUUGGACCCGUAGAAGAUUAUACAAACAUAUUGGUUCACGACCUCCACCUUAUUUUAUUGUUUUUAUGCAACCAUGGGACAGUUUUUUUCUAUGUAAUCAACAAUUGUAUUCCUUUUUACAUUACCUGAUUGCAUGUCGGCCGUAGCAAUUUAAUUAUUGAAUAAACUAAAUAAAGAAUUUAAAAACAAUAAUACUUCCAAAAAAAAAAAAACAUAUUUUAACGGCUCAAAAGUCUACAUCAUUGAAUGAAAAGGUGUCACAAGUUGAGGUUUGAAUUAGUCCAUAAUUAAUUGUAAAAUCAACCGUGUGCCGAAACUCUUUACUUUGUCAAGGUAGAAUUACUAGAAAUCACUUAAUGUUUAAAUAGUUGAUCAUCUUUCUUGAUUUAUUAAUUAAAUGUCCGACACAUCUACCUAUCGAUAAACUUCACAAUUCAUAUUUAAAGACCAUGUGAGAGUCAACUCAAAAAAGGCCAUGCCAUUCCCAUCAUAGUGACAGUGCAUUAUUAGAGUUUGUUUUCUAAUCAUAUUACUCAUUCAUGAAUGAGUAACAUGGGUGAAUUCAUCACUUUCUUUCUUUCCUUUCAACCUCUCACAUUCAUCUUCUUCCUCCUCUUCUACAUAACACUCAUCGAGUUCCGACGGGUCAAAAAACUCGUCGGAACUGGUCCAACAACCUAUCCUGUAAUAGGUUGUUUAAUAUCUUUCUACAAGAAUCGUUUUCGGUUGCUAGAUUGGUAUACCAAGCUUUUAGCCCAAUCGCCAACCAAUACCAUAUUGGUUCAACGAUUAGGCGCACGUAGAACCAUUGUAACGGCAAAUCAACACAACGUCGAAUAUGUGCUCAAGACCAAUUUCAAAAACUUCCCCAAAGGGAAGCCUUUUAGGGAGAUCCUUAGUGAUUUCCUUGGAAAAGGUAUAUUCAAUGUGGACGACGAUUUAUGGAUGAUACAGCGAAAACUCGCAAGUCAUGAGUUUUCGCUGAGAUCCAUAAAUGAGUUCAUCAUGCACACGUUGGAGGAAGAAGUCAAAGGGAAGCUAAUUCCAUUAAUGGAUUCACUAUCAAUAGAGAACAAAGUAGUUGACUUUCAAGAGUUGUUGGGGAGAUUCUCUUUCAAUGUGGUUUGCAAAUUCACAUUGGGGAUUGAUGAUGAUGAUGAUAAUAGAUGUUGCUUGGAUCCUUGUUUUCCAAUUUCACCGCUGGCGAAGGCUUUCGAUGUGGCGGCCGAGAUUUCGGCGAGGCGUGGAGCAGCACCUUUGUUUUUGGUGUGGAGAGUGAAGAAGUGGCUUGGAGUUGGAUCGGAAAGGAGGCUUAGAGAUGCAGUUAAGGAGGUUAAGAUACUUGUCAUGGAAAUGAUUUUAGAAAGGAAGAAGAUGAUGAAUGUAAAAGGAGAGGAGCUUGUUGGUGGUCAAGAUCUCUUGUCACGUCUUAUUUCUUCAGGUUGGUGAACAUUAAUUUUUUUUUGGUUUAAAUAUGUGUUUAUCCUUGCACUUUCAUCAGAUUUUGACAUUGGUCCCUACAGUUUUUUUUGUUUGGAAUUGGUCCCUGUACUUUGUAAAAAUAUUGGUAUUCGUCCCUCUAUUAACUUUCUGUUAAAAAAAACACAAAACUAUUGGUAUUGGUCCCUGCACUUUGUAAAAAUAUUGGUAUUGGUCCCUGCACCUUGUAAAAAUAUUGAUAUUGGUGCCACGUGGCGUGAAAUGAUUGGGCCACGUGGCACUCCGUUGGUUUUGUGUUUUUUUUUUAACAGAAAGUUAACAGAGAGAUCAAUACCAAUAUUUUUACAAAGUGCAGGGACCAAUGCCAAACAAAAAAAAGUGCAGGGACUAAUGCCAAAAUCUGAUGAAAGUGCAGGGACCAAUGACACAUUUAAACCAUUUUUUUUUCCUAUCAAAUAGUUUAUUGGUUAGAAAUUCAUAUUUUUAUAGUGAAUAAGUGUCGCGGUUUGAACUCUGGCAAUAUAUAUUAUGCAAACCUUCCUAAGCUAAGCUGACGGCCGGUUGGUGAACAUUUUCCAAUAGUUCUUUGUUUAGUAGCUUUUUUUUUUCUCUAUCUUUUUAAUGGGAUUAAAUAUCAUUAAAAAAAAUUAUCUAUUAAAUAAAAUGAAUUAUGAUUUUAUAUGUGAAAUAUUUUUCUUGUAGGGCAUGAGGAAGAAGUAAUUAGGGACAUGGUGAUAAGCUUCAUUAUGGCAGGGAGGGACACAACAUCAUCAGCAUUAACAUGGUUCUUUUGGUUACUAUCACGUUAUUCAGAUAUUGAGCACAAGAUAUUGAAAGAGUCAGAAAACAAAUUAAACAAUGAAACAUUGGAUUAUGAAUCAUUGAAGAAUAUGAAUUUUUUAAAGGCAUGUCUAUGUGAAUCUAUGAGGUUAUAUCCACCAAUAGCAUGGGAUUCAAAACAUGCCACAUGUGAUGAUGUGUUACCAGAUGGAACUUUGGUAAAAUGUGGAGAUAGAGUGACUUAUUUUCCAUAUGGAAUGGGAAGAAUGGAAAAUUUAUGGGGAAAAGAUUGGUUUGAAUUUAGACCAGAUCGUUGGUUUGUUGAAUUGAACAAUGAAAUAAUAUUGAGUGAGGUUUGUCCUUAUAAGUUUCCUAUUUUUCAGGCUGGUCCAAGGGUGUGUCUUGGAAAAGAAAUGGCUUUUAUUCAAAUGAAAUAUGUGGUGGCUUCAAUUCUUAGGAGAUUUAGGAUUAAAAUAGUUAGUGAUAAGAAGCCUAUAUUCGUGCCACUUCUUACGGCGCACAUGGCCGGCGGCUUAAAAGUAUUGGUUUCUAAGAGAAUGCAACUUUAACUCAUUUUUUUACUACCAACAUGGACCAAUCAAGUUAUGUGAUGAGAGGUUCAAGCUUAGUGAUGAGAGGUUUGAUCAUAUACUAUGUAUGAAAGAAUAUCAAUUAUUUAUUAAGUUAAUAUAUGAUUUUUUAAAUGAACCUAAGAUAUAUAGUUUGUUUAAUUGCUUUGGGUUUAAAAAAACAUAUUAUAUUCAUUGUUAUCUUUGUUUUUCUUUGAAUUUUGGAGGAUGAAUACUUCAAUUUGGGACUUUAGACGAUUUUCUAAAAAAUAUCCGAUUAGUCCUUUAUUUCAUUUGGCACUCAUGUGCUUGGGUUAUUUAGGCCGAAAGAAAUGCACAUGUUUUUCGUCUAAAGGAUGUCUCGUUACAUCAACUUAUUGACAAAAUUAAGUUUCAAUGAUAAUAGUGGUUGAAAGCGAAUCGCAUCAAUUUUGCUUUUACAUAUCAUAUGUGGUGGUUUAAUCAUCUACAUUGUUUGGGAAUCAUUCUUUAACAAAGUUUGUUUGCCUCUUUUUCGAUUCGUAGGGGUGUUCAAAACCGAAACAAUUCAAAAGAAAAACUGCAAACCGAACUAAUCCAAACCAAAACUGCAAAAAACAACAUUUGGUUCGGAUGUAUUCGGAUCAUUUUUUUUUGCUCAACCGCAUGGUUUGGUUCGAUUUGUGGUUUUGAUUUUACCAACCGAACUAAACCAAACUAAAUCAAACCGCAAUAUAAGAAAAACACUAAUUAAAUAUAGGCUUAAUACAUGCUUUGGUCCCUUAACUUAUUUUUGAAUUUCAUUUUGAUCCCUCAACUUUAAACCGUCUCAAUUUGGUCUCAUAACUUUGCCUCCGUUUACCUAAGCGGUCCCUUCUGUUAAAAAAACUAACAGAAGGAACCACUUAGGUAAAUGGAGGCAAAGUUAUGGGACCAAAUUGAGAUGGUUUAAAGUUAAGGGACCAAAAUGAAAUUCAAAAAUAAGUUAAGGGACCAAAGCAUGUAUUAAGCCUUAAAUAUAUAUCAUCUAGAUCAAUACUCGUAAAAAUUCAAUGGAAACUUUAAUAAAAUGACAUUUUUUUUUUCUCUUGUUAAGAUUCUUCAUUGCUUUUUCUAUAAAAAAAAAAUGUAUUUAUGUGCUACUUGAACUCUUAGAGAAUAACUAAAAUUUUAGUCUUUUGUAUCUCUUACAAAAUAUGAUUACUUUUUGUCCACGUUUUAAUUUUGUCUAAGUAGUUGGGAACAUUGUUGGAUGGAAAUAAAAUUCUAAUAUUGGAUGAAAUUGAAAACAUUGUUGGAAAUAUGUUGUGUUAUAGCUUUUUAAAUUGAUUUUAACGUUGAAAACAAAAAAAAAAUAUUGUCUAAAAAAACCGCAUCAACCGAUCCAAUCCAAACCGAAUUGAUUUGGUUUGGUUCAGAUUUUAUUUUAAAAGUCAAUCGAACCAAAUAAAACCAAAUACUUAUUUAUUUUGCAGUUUGGAUGACUUUACCCUCAAAACCAAACCAAACUGCACCGCGAACACCCCUAUUUUUCUUAGACUUUUGAAGUAAUUUGAAAUUUUCUUUCCUAAUAUUCUUUUUCCAUUUCUUGUACUCGAAAUAAUAGCUUUUUUAAUGAAUAAAUAUAAUCUAUUUUAACUUCUUCAAAAAAAUAUAUAAUAAUGACAUGUAUAAUACAUUUUCUUAUUAGGCUUUGCCACUUCAUUAAUGACAAAAAUCAACAUUUAAUUUGCCUAAAAAUGUGUCUUUCAUCACCUUCAUCAGUAAACUCAAACAAAUCGAAAUCAUCGUCAAUAAAGUUAAAAAUUUAUAUCAUCUUAAAAAAUCAAAAUCAUAAAAUUCUCAAUAUAUAUCCUAAAUUUUGGAAAUCUUAAGAAAUCCUAAAUUUAUCCUAAAAUUUACCUAUCCAAAAAUAUACACUAAACCCAUAGGAACUUUGGUGUAAUGGUUGCCAGUAACAUCUAGAGGGCAAUGAACUCAUGCCUCUGAGAGAUUAAGACCCCACACACAUCUACCCGUGUAAUUAGUAGAUGUAACUUGACAACUAGUAGGUAGUAAAACCUCACGAACUCAUAACUUAGAUAGAAAACCCGAAAAGCUAAAUAAGACUUGACUGUUAAGUAAUUCUAACAAAUAAAUAAAAGAGAUUCAAAGAAUCAUAACCGUCACUGACAUUAUGCAAUCGAAAAAGGUAAAUAUUGCUCUGUUUCAAACAAAUCAAAUUGCAAAACCCCUUUACUCUUUAUCUUUUUAUUUUAAUCGUUCCCAAAUAAGUAAUGUGAAUCGCCUAGUUGGAACAACAAUCAAUGUGGAUAAUAUAUACUCUACUUGGUAAACAAGUUGAUACACUUACCUAAAUCCGACCAUCAGGGAUCAAAGUGGAGUCAUAGCAAAGAAUACUUAUUGGAGGCAUUUUGAGUGACUGCAUAGUGUAGAAAGGAUUGUGGUAAUUCGUAAAUUUAAGGAACCUUUCUAAUUGACUCUUAUAAACAUUUUCAACAUUGUAAUGGAUGCCCGUCGAAGAGGCAUUUUCUUCUACGAAGAGAGGAUGUACCCCUAGAGAGGACGAAAAAGGGAAACUUCUAUAAAUCAGGUGUUCUUCUUUCCCUUACUGUUUAAUUUCAACAAUUUUAAUUUGAUGUAUGAUAAUUAAUCAAUUAAGUUAAUUGAUAUAUGCUUCCUGACUGAAUAAAUUCUAAAAUCUAUUUUCAAGAAGGUUGAUUCAUCAAUUCAAUCACCUUCCAUACUAUAAAUUAUCCUGUCAAUUAAUUCAUAUUAGUUGAUUGCAAGCGUUGUUAGAGACAAGUGAAUGAGAUAACUCACAUAUUAGUUAAAAUUGUCACAUUCUUAAUUCAUAUAUCAUCGAACUGAUAUAUAAUGAAAUGCUAUAAGUUUUUUCCCUUAAAAAAACACCAAUUUUUUUGUCAUACAAAAAAAUAUGUUUGAUUGUGCUUUAUUUUAAAAUACUUUGUAAAAUAAUUAUAAAUAACUAAUUCUUAGAACAAUUCCAAAAAAACUUGCAAGGUAAUAUUGAUUUGGAGAAAAUAUAUAUUUACGAAAAGAAAUAUGCAUAUAUAAGAUCUUGAUUGAUUUUUUUUUUUUUUUUUGAGGGAUCUUGACUGAAUUUUUUAUUAAAAUAUGUAACCACGAUUUUAUUUUAUGAGAACCACUAUAUCUUUAAAUGAAAUAAAAGAUGUCGAAUGGUAUCUAAGUAAAAGUAAAUAGAGAAUUCAGUAAAAAAAAAAAAAAAAAAAACUAAAUAGAGAAUAUUUUUUGAAGGAAAAAGUAAAUAGAGUAUUAUAUUUUCAAUGCGUAUAAUUAUUAUAACUCAACAAAAAAAAAAUGUGUAUGCCAAUGAUCCAAAUUGAUUUAUUUGAGUUUCUUCUUUUUUUAAGGAGUUUAUUUGGGUUUCUUAAAAGGUUAUUGAGUUUCUUAAAAAAAAAAAAUGCUAUUCUCCCUUCAAAAAUUGCUCCCUUUCCAUACAAACUGAUGAAAAUACUUCCACGUAACUUAAGUAACGCAAGUAUUAUCCAUGACUUAAGUCAUGUUCGCUACAUUGGUACAUCCCACAUGAGUAACUCAGUAUGUUAUAACCGAGCGUGAGUUAACUCAUUUAAGUUGUUAUUAUCCAACGUGAGUUAACUCAUGUAGGUUACUUGACUCGUGGGGGCUAUUUUUAUCAGAUCGUAUGGGAGUCAGCAAUUUUUUAUGGAAGAAGAACAAUUUUAAAAAAAAAAAAAAGUUUAAUUGGGUUUGUACCCAAGAAAAAGUUAUGGGGCCAACUUUCUCUUGAUUGGUGAUAGAAAAUACCGUAUUAAUUAAGAUUCUGAUUUUUUUUUUUUUUGUUUUACACAAUCGAAUAAAUAUAUUCUCGAUUCUAGUCCAAAAAAUCAAAUAAAUAUAUUCUCGAGUAAUUCACACAUGGUUAUGAAACAUUUUUUUUUAUUUUAUUUUAUGGAUUCUGAGCUUUUGAGUAUCAAAUAGAAUACGACUCUAGAAGUUAAAACUAUUUUUGUGAGUUAAUCCCAGUAGUAUUUGACAUCCCGCUGAAGGGUUAGGUCAUCAUGAAUAUUUCAGGUAUGUUUGCUCUUGUUAGUAUAUUAUUUCUGAUGAUUAAUUCUAGAGUAUAAGAGUUACUUUAUGUUCUAAUAAGCUACGAUGGUUCUUAUGAUUACUAUAAAUCCAUAUUUGUAUCACAAUUUUAGUUUCCGUAAUAUAAAAUUAAACAUAAUAAACAAAAUCAACCGUAUUAUAAUUAUGAUUGGUGGGUAUGGUAAUCCACUGGAUUUUAUAUUUACCCUAUUUUUAUGUUUUGGCAGCUUUGGUUUCUGUUUAGAGAAACUAUAUUCUUAUUUAUACUUAAUACAGUCUCCUAUUUUAAAAGUUUAAAAGAAAACAAAACCGCCGUGUGCAAAUAUAAGUUAUAUGUCUCACAUCGGAUAGAAAAGUGGAGGUUGAACACUUUAUAAGUGGGAGAACCCUUAAGGUUUUCGCUAAGAGUGUGUUGUCUCUUGUAGUUGCUCUUCCUAGAUGAGGGUGGUCCACUUCGCUCCCCUUGUCACCCAAUAGUGGCAUCAGAACUCGAUUCGACGAAUGUUACGACCGACUCUUUGGGUCUAAAUAUAAAGUCUUCCUGACAAGGUGUUCAGGCGGCAGGUUCCAUUGCGAAGAAAGCAACAACGACGAUACAAGCUAGCAAGUAUUUGCGGAUGACUGAUUCCGUUGCGAAGAAAGCAGCAACGGCGAUGCAAACAAGUAUUUGCGGAUGAAAGAGCUUCCACUUGAGGGGGCAGCAUGAUGAAUUGGCGGACUCAUACUUGAGGGGGAGUGUGGUGUGCAAGUGUGAGUUGUUCCACAUCAUAUAGAAAAGUAGAGGUUAAACACUUUAUAAGUGGGAGAGAACCCAUAAACUCAUUAUCUGACUAAAUACAUUAAUUAUU